UGGAAGGAGUUAGACAUUAUUAAAUUUUGGAACGCUUCUCCAGCUUGGACCUUGGAAAUUCCUCCGAGUUUAUAGGAGAGAUGAAUCUCAAAGAAUUAAUAUUCCUGGCUAUAUUGGAGUGCAACAAGCAAAGCUUCAUUUGAUUUUCACCGAGGAACCAGCGUUUUCUCCUAAAUAUGAUUGAGGAGCUUUCCUCCUUUUCCUUUCAUGAUAAUAUUAUGCCUGAGAACGUUCCUCAAUUUCAUUAUUGGAUCAUUAUGCAAUCAGUUUUGAAUGAAGAACUAGAGUUCUUUUUCAUUAUGCAGUAACAGUGACAAUACUUGCAGGAACACCCACGCCUGGUGAACCUAUUCUUCAUUUUAUCUCGAUACUUCCUGCACAUUCCACGUAAAUGAGCAAGGGCAAGGGUUAAUGACUAUUCUAAAUUGAGUUAAUAACUAGGGCAGCUGCUUGAUCACUACUUAUGCUCGUGGUUUUAGUUUGCUUCCUUUGGGGCUUCUUUCAUGGGAGUGAUGCUUUUCCAAAAUGUGUGUUGGCCAGCCUCUCCGUUUGUAAGCUGAGAAUUGUAGGAUCUGUGGUCGUGGGAAGAAGGAAAUGAAUCGUGAUUGUAUCAACCCAGAGAGUGAAAACUGCAUUGUAUCUAGUCCGUGUAUUCGCUUGUCAAACAAUGCAGUCUUUGGUAGUUAGCCUGUGUAAGUUCACGAUGUAAGAGAACGAGAUUUAUUUACCUACUCGUGUAUCACAGUCGCCAUGAAUUGACCAGGAAGACACCAAGCAGCAAAACUAUGCACUGAUUUGCCUUUUUCUCUCUUUCUUUUUAGUUCAAGGAACCAGGAGACUCCAAGAACAUAUGGAAAGCUAGCUGCCUUGUCGAAGAACAUUUUUCGACAUAGCCACUGGUAUUGUGUACCAGCUACGGGAAACCAUAUAUGGCAAGAAAAUAUCUUUCUAAGACACUAGAUGCUAUCAACUCGCGAUUCUCCAGUUGCUGACUUGCAAUUGGCAAAAGUGGCUCCAACCAUUCUGGAUUGAGAAAGAAGCAAUUAGAGUGGAACUGAAUAUUUUGCAUCCUCUGAUACGCGAAGAAGUGUGAGAAGUUCACUACAUAUCUGCAGAAAUUUUUGAGAGAUAUCAUUUCUGUCUGAAUGGACCAUUCCAAAUCUUGUAUUGACGUGAGGGGAAGACAAACAACUCAGGUAUGUUAUAAACUGCUUCUGAGGCUAUAAAUUACUAUUAACUCUAAUUGCCACCUGCAUAAGAAGACCGGUUUAUUAAAGAUCUCACGUUCCCAUGUGUCCAAACUUGUUCAGAAAGAUGUGCACUUUACCCUGUAAAGCAUAUGCUCCACUUUUAGUUCAUUUAUUAGAGAUCUUCUAUCUGUUCUGGCUUAUAAUUUUCUCAACAAGAAGAGAGAGUGUAAGCAAUGGUGCUGAUGCCAGCAAUUCUGGCGCCGUGGGAGCAUCCACUUGUCCAUUCAUCUCUCCAAGUGGUGUGGGAAAUGACUGCAACAAAGUGUUCUUGAGCUUUAGAGGCACAGAUGCUCACACAGGAUUCACAAAUCAACUCUACCAUUCGCAAACUUGUGGAUGUAGGCACUGUGCCAGCUCAUGUUCAGAGAUGAUAAAGACCUCCAAGUCGGCAAGGAGUCUGGGUCAGAGCUUCUUAGCGCAAUCAUGCAGUCCAAGAUCACGGUACCAAUUAUCUCUCCCAAUUAUACUUCCAAUAAAUGGUGUCUUUGUAAGCUCAUUCAAAUGAUGGAGCAGAGAAACAGAGGAAAGUCUUGCUGAUGUUUUACAAAGUCGAUCCCUCACAUGUGCGGUACCUGAAAGGGAGUUUUCGCAAGGCCUUCCGCUCACCCAAAAAGCAUUUUGAUACGAAGGCUGUCAAACCAGGGCAGCGAGCUCUCCGGCAGUGAGUUUCUUAUACAGAUGGGAAUAAGAAAAAAUCGCUAAUGGGUACCUUCGUUUCCGUUGAACCUUGCGUACUUUCUUUCAACAAGAUCUUACUGGGGGUAAAAGAAAGACAUUAUUUCGUUGCCAUAAUCAUCCUGAACUCUUGCCCGCAGAACCAGGACAAACUAUGUACAAAAAUUUGCUGUAUUCAUCCUUCGUCCAUAUUUUCACCCUAGGAAAGCGUGUGUGAUUUCUCUGUGAUUAUAUUUCUCGUUUUUGCGGUCAGCUUUGCAGACGCGACAGCAUUGAAAAGGAAAGCGCUGGGCAAGACAUCAAAUCAUCUCAUUGCUGAAUUGAGGAGUCUACGAAAAGAUUGCAAGUACCCAACAUGAAUUCGUUACCAAAGAUAUACUUCCUUAAGCUAAAUGGGGCCCACACGGAAUGAAUAGGAAAGCAAUGGCUAAUUUAGGAAAUAAGGAAGGAAUGCCUCGUGUUGACGAGAACUCCGUUGGCGCAAAUGAUAAGGUACUUGGCUCCCUCAAGAGCAUUAUGUCGCGAGUUGGAUUAUUCGAGAUUGUUUCCUUUGGCCAUCCACAAGAGUCCCAAAACCGUGCAAUGCUAUGAUUACCGGUGUGGUGGAGAUAGGUAGCUUGCCAUAUAUUGGGAUAGAUUUCAUCAAUUCAUGGUCACUAAAUUUAGAAGAUACGCACAAUUUGAUUGGCGAACUUUGAUUUCGAUCGUUGCAUGCACUGAACUUUAAGUCCUUUUCUUUUGCAAUCCAUGCACUUUGAUUGGAAACUAGCCAAUUCUUGAUCCAAACACUGACAUGGCGGAUGUGCGGUGCCGGCGUGGUGUCCACCUUCGGCAUCAUGUUAGCACAAAGAAAAAAGAUUAAGAAAGUGUUUUUUUUUUUUUUUUUUUUGGGGAGGGGGAGUGUUUGUGGAGGAAGGGAAAAGAAGAAGUGAAGAGAGCCACCAUCUAAGUAACACUAACACACGACACGACACGGCACGAUAUGCCGGCACGUCGUUUUUCAAAAAACUGAGAAUUCCAGCAUGUUGGUACAUAUUAUAUUAAAUAUAUAUUUUAUAUAUACAUAAUAAAUUAUCAUUUUUAUGAUUUUUUUCAAUUAAAUUAAUUUGAAUCAAAUUCAUAAAUAAAUAAGUAAAUAAAAACUCUUAAAAUGAAUUUACCACUAAAAACAUUCAUCUGCUAUUUAUUAAUAUCAUUCAUUAUUUUAAUUUGACAAAUUCAACUCUAUUUCAAUAAUUCAUAAAACUUUGAAAAAAAAAAAAACAAGCUAUCCAUAUUUUGAACUUGCAUGUUAGAUAUGUUGGAAGAGGAGAAAAAAAACUUAUGGGAUGAAUUGUGUAUCAUCAGAAGUGGGAGUCAGAAGAGAAGAGAAGAGAAGAGAAAACUAGGUUUCUCAACCACCGGCCGGUGGCAUGGAUGGUAGAGCCUUGGCCCUCCCUGGUGGAGGCCAAGGUUCGAAGCCCCUGCGAAGUAGGGAGGCUGAAGCAUUGUGUGGUGACUUAAGCGUGACGUCAGGGUAGUGGUUUCCCUGCUAGCUUCACCGGGGGGUUUACGGUGCACUGUCGGUGCAAGCUGGUUCCUCCUGUUCCAAAAAAAAAAAAAAACUAGGUUUCUCUUCUUUCUCCAUUUAUUAUUUUUAUUAUUGUGUUUUAUUUUUUUCACAUAUAUUUUUUUUGACGUUUUGUUUAUUGAAUUUUUAAAAUUGACAUCGAUAUCAUAAUCACAUGUCGGAAACUCGUAUGUCAAAAUUCCGACUCGAGUGUCAAAGAGUGUCGGAAAAGUUAACCAGGUGUCGAAUUUUCCAACACGUGUUGACCGAGUGUCGGAGAGUGUCAGACAUGUGUCGAAGUAUCCGACACAACAUGAAGGCUCUUGGAGAAUGUCAGUGCUUCAUAGGCCACCAUCAGCCCUUUGCCUACAUUUCCCGGAAUUUGUAGAGGGCGCCAUGACCCUCUGUCAUUGCAAGGCAGAGGGUUGCGCAACCCCUUGGCAUUGUCCUUGAGGGGUUACCAUGUUUGGAUAAGUUUCCUAUGUUCUUGGUCGGGUCUUGCCGAGUCGAGCCCAUAGUUUAUUUGUUUAGUUUUGAGCUGUUUUCUAUUUUGUUUCUGCGGAAAUUUAUUCGAGGGUUCUAGUUGAUCUAUAUAUAUAUAUAUAUAUAUAUAUAUAUAUAUAUAUAUAUAUAUAUAUAUAUAUAUUGUGAUAGCCUCCUCUCUUGUCCACAUCGCCUAGGGAGGGAGGUCUUGAUUAGCUUAUAAGGCUUGGGUCCAUUUAACCUGUGUAACGCGUUUUAAAGCCAUGAAGGAAAAGACCGUGGCUGGGAUGGCGGUUCGUCUGUGCCAGGACGGGUGACCCAAAGCGGACAAUAUUACACAGUGGAGCCCGAGAUGUUACAAAGCCAACUCCCGAGCGCGUGUGGGACCAUAGCUCGAAUGCUAUUCUGACGCCCAUGGCCAACUGCGUGUGGCAUGUGGGACCACAGCUCGAAUGUUAUUCUGACACCCAGACAAUAUUACACAGUGGGGCCCGAGAUGUUACAAAGCCGACUCCCGAGCGUGUGUGGGACCACAGCUCGAAUGCUAUUCUGACGCCCAUGGCCGACCGCGUGUGGCAUGUGGGACCACAGCUCGAAUGCUAUUCUGACGCUCGUGGGGCCACAACAAGGACGCUCUUCUGUUAAGAGGUGACAUCGCUUAGAUCCCUCUAACCUGUGUAACACGUUUUAAAGCUGUGAGGGAAAAGACCGUGGCUGGGAUGGUGGUUCGUCCACACCAGGGUGGGUGACCCAAAGCGGACAAUAUUACACAGUGGGGCCCUAAGAUGACAGUUCGUCCACUCUAGGGCGGGUGACCCAAAGUAGACAAUAUUACACAGUGAGGCCCGGGAUGUUACAUAUAUAUAUAUAUAUAUAUAUAUAUAUAUAUAUAUAUAUAUAUAUUGAAAAUUAAUAAAAUGGAGCAACAAAGACCUCUUGCUAUAGCCUCAUCGAUCCACGAAUGGAAUAAGGAGCGCGUUGUCCAUUGGAUAGUAAGGAGCACGUUGUCCAUUGGAUCCACGGCGAGUCUUCAAGAACACUUCCUCUUACGGUAGCAAUAAUUUAUCAAUCUAGGCUACAGAUGAUAUAAACUUAACGAAAUUUGCUCAUUUCUGGCCAAUAGGCCAAAAUUAUAUAGACCAGAUGAUAAAAAAAUUCAUGGAAUUCGUAACUGAGAUUUUCAUUUUAGAAGGAUUACACACAUAAAGUUUUGGGAAACUACGUUGCACUUUAGCACUGCGUUUAGACCUCAGGAAGAUGGUCAAUUAGAAAGCAAAAUCCGAACAUUUUAAAGUGAUGUUAAAGAGCAUAAGCGAUUGGCACGGCUAGACACAGGCCGAUAUAAUUUUCAAUUUUAAGCUAAAAAGGCAUCUAUUCUAAUUGAAGUCGUAAAUAAAAAAUCGUCGACACAUCUAAUUUAAAAUGUUGCCCUCAACAGAACUAAUCUAAAUCUUAUUAAAAUAUACUACAUCGCCCCCUUUCAUGUAUCUUAACUAUUAAAAGAAAAUUAACCCAACUUAACUAUUGUGGAAGUAUCACAAUACAUAAUUUAUUAAAAAAAACAUGGUUUAAAAUUUAAAAAAAAAAAAACACAUCUUUUUUUUUUCUUUCUGUAUCUCAAUGAAUUUCACAAAACAACAAAAAAGUUAAUUGAACGAGUGGUACUUUACAGUUAAAUUCCUUUUGCUUAUAUGAUCAAAUUAAAUCUUAGUAAAACACUACAAAACACUACAAACGGCCUUCCUUUUCCUUGCGUUUUAUGCUCUAAUUAACUUCAUUUUCGCUCCAAAAAAAAGUAACUUCAAUUCGCUGAUAUUGGAGCAUGUACUAUAUUAGACAAUCUUAUGCAUCAGAUUACUCGGGCCAUAUUUAUUUCUUAUGUGAUGCAUAAAUCAUGAAAGUACGAUUUAUAUUUAUGUUAUACAGAAAAAUGCAGUCAUCUAUUAUGUGCCUGAAUAACAUGAGAAGGGCCCCUUUUUCAGCUAGCAAUUUACUUUGACCUGACAAUUUUAGCUUGCACUUUAUUUUAUUCCUCGUCACGUUGAAAAUUGUCAUCUUUAGACGGUACUACAGAGCUACAAAACGACGUUCCUUAUAAGUUUACUGAUGAGGACACAGUAGGCAUAUAUGUCACAUCCAAAAAUUCAAUGUUGAGAACGAAGUCUGGGUGCCUUGUCGAGGACAUCAGUAGAGAUGUCUUUUUGGGAAGUUACCUAGAGAAAAUGGAAAAGGCAAAGGCAAAGGCAGAGGGAAAGGAAAAGGAGGAGGGAAAGUGUAAGACAACGAGGGGAAGAUUGCAGAGAAGAGGGUGAGGUAGAGAUUUUGGGUCCUUGUGUCGACCUAAGACCCGCAUUUGAGGAAUCGGGUGGAUUCACACUUGAAUGACCCUCUUGAAACAUCCUUGGGGAACCUUCAGCAUAAUUCUCGUAACGCUCCUCCCUCAUGAAAGCAACAAGCUGUGAAUUGUGAGAAUCACCCAUCAUUUGCCUCUCCAGGAUCUCCACGUACUCCCUCCACCAUUGCAUAUAGCUACUUUUCUCCAAAAAUAUGUCAGGGGAAACCUUGUACUUCUCGAUCAGACCCAGAACACAUUUCUCAAACUCCACCAGUUUCACUAUUUUGGAACCGUUUGAUGAUCCUCCGCUUUCCAGCAAACUGCACGACCGGAUGGCCUCCUCCACGUGUGCCCAAAAGCACAAAUCCUCCGUCACACUCGACUCGACAUUGUUCAAUUUCAAAUUCGAAAGGCCAGCCUUCUCCUGGUAUUUUUUUUUUUCCAGAUGAUCAUCCAGCCAUUCUUCUACCAGCCUGUAGUGUUUGGAUCUUCCUCGAUUUAUGUAAUCCUUUCGGCCCCUUCUGUAAUAUUCGGUUAUGUCCAGUGGUUCCACUAUCCUGCAGUAAUUUGUCCCUCCAAAGAGCCAACGGUACUGCAGUGGCGUGCCCCAUAUUUGAGGCUUCUUCUCCGCUUCUUUGACCACACCCUCCCAGUAAUCCGAGAGGAUUGUCUUGUACUUAUCAACUCCAUUGUCGUGCCUUUCUCGUGCAUUUUUGAAGCUGUCACAGAAACCAGGACCCCUGCCGUUGGCUUUGCAUACCUUCAUGUACCACUCCAAGAAAGGUACACUUUCAUUUGGUCCAAUUGCUUGGCAGGAACAAAUGCCUCUCUUUAUUGUCUUAAGACGUCUCUUUCACGCUUUACUAUUUCAUCUAUCAGAGCAUCACUGCCCUCAUUUAGCUGCUGUCACUGCAAUGAGAGUCCACUCAAUCAAAGUUUAUAAAUAUUCAUAACAUUUAGAAGCUUCCAACUUCAGCAAGUUUUCCUUUUAUCCUGCUAAAAUUCUGAAUUAGUCUAUCCGCAUUUUAAUUAGGUAAAAACAUGGUCAAUGGCAAAAGUGAGAUAUAUGUGUGGUUCCAAGCAGCACAACUAUCUGCUAAAAAGCAAACUUCUCCUUGAUGGAAUGUAACCAUGAGAAGAAGGUCAAGUUCAGAUACCUGUAUUGGCUUGAGGCCGACCACUAUGACUUGAGUAGUAACCCCAGCUUUAUACGAACAUGCUUCUUGCCCAUUCAACCAUGAACAAUCAUUGUGAAUUAAUCUUUGCUCUAGCCAUCCAAUGACAGUCUUAUAAUCAACACUUCGGGACUCUUCUGUUUCCAACAGCAAUUUCCAAGAUGAGCAGCUCCAUGAUGGACUCGGGCUUCAAAACAGGUACCACCUGAUUCAGAACACAAAAGGAAGGUACCAAAAGGUUUGUAUUGACUUGAGUUAGUGGUGGAAGGGUGAAGGAAUGGUCUAGGAAAACAAUCAUCCGUAUGAGCUACAUGCAAGAAGCACAAAUUCCAUGUUAAAUAUUGCGAUACAGCUUGUCGGAAGGCAUUGUCUCUGAGGAGUGGUGAAUUGCAAGUGAUACAGAGGGGGAGUGUUCCCUUUGUUGUGUCGAGUGUGUUUAAGGCCAUAACAUGAAAUGGGAGGUGAUGAAUCCACCCGUUCAGUGUCCUGUAAUAAUAUAGGGAACUGAGUCCUUAGACUUGGCUGAAGCUACAACCUGCGUUGAAGCAGAAUAAGCAUCAAUUCAUAUUCUCAACUUAUAGGUGCCAAGUACAGUCUUUCAGAUGAGAUAAAUAUGCACAGUUAAUAAAUGAAAUGAAACUCUGCGCAAUCAUAUGAUUCAGUUAAAUGAAAGAUUCAAUUUAUAGGGAUUUUCGCAACUAUGCUCAAAACAAUGAGAAAAAUCAUUUCCAUAGCAGAACAGUGCUUCACUUCUCAUCUAAUAGGCUUAAUGAUAGGUGGUGAACAACUCGAAACUCCUCAAUUGUAGCAAUUAUUAGCAUGUCUACUUCAACAACGAUUUCUGUAAGCAGCAAUUCCUAGAUACAUGCGUACUUAUGAUCUCACAGCCGAUAAUAGUAAUAACUAGAAUGGAUAACUUGAGAGAAUAUAUAGAAUUGCUACCUUUUCUUUGAGUCGAGAGAGCUCGUUUCGAAGAGAGUUAAACAGAGAAAUCACAGCUUUGUUUAUAUGAAAAGUUGGAUUGGUUUUGGAGCAUAGGAACUGAAAGUUGGGGAUCUUCAAUGAAGGAACCAAAUCUCUUUCCUCUUCAAGACUACCUGUAGUAACCGGUGAGGUGACAAAGGUAAUGAUAUUGUAGUUCAGGCAGUGAAAUUCAUUGAUUAUUACAGGGUUAUCCCUAUCUGAUCGGAAAGUCGCGGAUUUAAGUCAUGGAAACACCCUCUUUACACAACGCAAGAGGAAGUGUUGGUUGAUUCGCCGCUCUCCAUUAAUCCUGAAGAAGAUAUGAUGACACAGCCAAGUUUGCCAAAUACAGUCCAUCGCUGAAUCUGCAGAUCAAGAAAACAACAUACUACUCGUCAAGAACGUGGAUUAUCGGUAAAGUCGAUGCAAAAUGCAUUCUCUCCACCGAUUGCCGAACCUGGAUUUCUGUCUCAGAAAUAAAAGGCAAAGGAAAGAAAAUUUCUUUACGCACAGAGAAUCUAUAUCUCGGUCCAUUCUCAGAGCUUCGUUGGAUCUGCGCAGACACAGCUAUUUAACAUCGUGCCUCCAUUUUUAACCUGAUUCCAGAAACAAAAAAUGCAAGUGCCAGCUUGCUUAAUAUAUCUUCCAAAUCACCCAGCCGGUAUGAGUGAGAUAUGGAUUUGAUGAAAACUUACGGAAAAAAUCAUAGGUUCGCGUUCACUGAUUUUUUCAAUAGAGAUUGAUCAAUAGACUUGACCAUUGACAUUUUAAUUGUGAUGGUGAUUAAUCGAGUAUUUUUUACUUGUUUAUAACUUUGUUGAAAUGAAAUUACUCAUAUGUCAUUUAUGUAAUUUUACCUUGAAUUUGGAUUAUAGAGUUUUGGUAUUAUUAUGUAUAUAUACAUAGUGAUUGUUCGAUUUACUUAGAAAAGAUAUACUACUCACUGAACUGUGGUUACUUAUUUCACUCAUUUUUCAUGUUUUUCAAGCUCCUCGACUAGCGGCCAAUAGUACAAGAAUGCUAUCGACGGGACUUUCGGGAGUAUGAUUUCGAUAUGAGCUUAGCUAGUUUUUUUUUUUUUUUUUUUUUUUUUUUUUUUUUGUAGAUAGUUGUUGGGUUGGCUGGAUUCUAAAUUGAACAUAUUCUUUAUGAUAAUGAUAGAAAUUAUUAUAUUGUAACCAACCUGUUAUUUUAUUCAAUAUAUAUGGAUGGAGAUAUAUGUUAUUGUUAAUAGGUUAUUGGUUAUGUUUGACACAAUGUCCUUCAUUCAUACGAGAGGACGGUUGUGUCAUCCUUUUUCUUAUUGGUUUCAGGACGUGAUAUAUGAUAUGGUGGUUGACUCUAUCAAGAGUGAAACAUCCUAAAUUGGAUCUUCCGUAAUUGUUGUCUAUGGCAUCCCCAAGAGUCAUGAACUUGCAUUGGAUGUUAUAAUUUUUUUUUUUUUUGUGCUGGAGGAACCGGCUUGCAGCCGACAGCCGCGCCGUAAACCCCCAGGUGACACUUAAGCAGGAGGACCCACCACCCCUGAGUCACACUUAAUACACCUAGCGCCUCCCCUGGAUUUUGAACCCUUCACCUAUUCGUUGAGGAUCAGCAGAGCCUUAACCAGUGGAGCCACCGCGGCCGGUGGUUGGAUGUUAUAAUUAUUUGUCAUCGUUUUGUGGUCGGUAAGAGGGUAUGCGCAAUCCGGUCGGUGAACUUCGGAUUUUAAUCAUCGAACGCGCUCAAAUUUCAGCUGCCAACGUAGUGUCUAACUUGGGCCAGCGUAAGCCCCAAGAAAAAAAAAAUAUAUUGAUAUAAUAAAAAUAAAGAUAAAAAAGAAACAAAAAAUGGGUAGAGAGCCAUUAAGAACAUGUGGGCCGAAAGUUAAAGAAAGAAGCAAGAAAAUGAGUACCCUCCAGAAGCAAGAAAAUGAGUACCCUCCAGUUAAUUUGUUUAGUUUUUUUCUUUAGUUCAUUAGUUAAUAAAAAUCAAAUUGUUGAUGUGCUUGCGAAAAAAAAAAGAAAGCAAAAUUUCUUAGAGCUUAGAAAUAAGCUUAUAAAAUCAAAUACAUCUCAUGUGCAAAUCUAAAAUACAUACAAUGAAUCCAUCUUAUUAGAUAAACGCAUAGUGGUGCUCCUGAGCUCUUUCAAUGUGUGGUUGACAUUUGGUGUUCUUCAUGAGUGACAUCUUUCUUUACUUUCUUUAGAAAAAUUUUCCUUUUAUUUUUUUUAUUUUACUUGAACUAAAAAAUUUCCGUCUUAAUUUAAGAGGUAUACGAUUACUUUUGAUAUCACGCAAAUCCCUUAUUCUUGUGAUGAUUGAGUAUAAUUAUAUCAGUUUACUCCAUUCACUAGACAAUGCCAAGAAGGCACCACCCAGCACUUUGUCGAGUUUGGAAUACUUGUCAAAAUUACAUAUCAAAAGGUGCGGUGAGCUAAUAGAAAUCAAGGGUUUGAAAGGGCUAAAAUCCUUAGCAAAACUAAAAGUAUCUACAUGUGAGAAGUUGUUCGACAUCAAGGGCCUUGAACCCCUAAAGUCUUUGAGACCUUUGGAAUUGUCUGAUUUCGAGUCAGAUGCUUUACCAGUGAUUAAUGAUCUAUUUCAAGUUUAAGGCCUUGACAAAUUGAAAAACUUCAACGAGCUACUUUUCUAAAGGUGCCAGCCCCUUAUGAGGCUGGACCUUUCGCAAUUAAGAUAUCUGAAAUUUUUAAGAGUUGAAAAAUGUCAUAAUCUAGUCGAAAUUAGGGGCCUCAAGGGAGAUUUGGUCACCUAUGGGGGCCUUCCUAUGCCGUCAUCUAUAGUUGGUCUAAAGAUGUCUAUCGCAGGAUUAAAUACGCGGUACAAGACGGCCGAGAAUUUUUUUUCCUAUUAUAUGGAGGGCAACAAAUACUUAGCGCAUGGUUACUCUUAUUUAAGACAAAAGAAAGUGGAAAUUUGAAGGGCCCAUGCGCAUGUCUCUCGCGCCCAUUUUUCUCCCCAUGCGCAUGCAUGCCCACAAAAAUAGCCAGGCGCCUUGCGAGAAAAAUAUUGUGCAGGCCCGGCCUCUCCACGUAAUCGUGGGCGGGCCCAUCCACGUGGCGUCAUGUGUCGUCCAAUCAUGGUCCCAUUGUCUCUCUCCAUCUUGAGUCCUCUCUCUUCAUCAAAGACAUCUGUGUCCUCCCUUUCCCCCUCUUCCUUCGUUUCAAAAUUUCACUCCCUUUCUCCCUCUCUCCUGCGUGUGAAGACACUCUCCUCCUUUUUUUUCUCGUGUAUUUUGGCUUCAAAGAUAGAUGUGAAUUCUCCUCAAAACCACGGGCAGUUUUUUUUUUUUUUUUGGUCAGCUCCCACAAGAAAACAUCCCUCCUCAAAACCAGUUGCCAUGCUCGCUAUACAUCCUGAAAUGAGUUUUUUUUUUUUUUAAAUGGAAUCUUGCACCCAUGGAUGAGGCUUUCCUGGCUUUUGGUGGUGCAUUUCGGGAUUUCUUGAGGUUUCGCUGACUUAGGUAUGUUCUUUUUAUCUGUUGGGCUGUGUGGGAAUACCUCUGUUUUUUCAUUGCAUGGGAAAAAAGUCUGGUUCUGGGCAUUUGACCAGGUCAAAGAAAGUGUCUCUUGACAGAAUGUGAAAUGGAGAUUUGAGAAAAGCUUUUUCUCUGUAUAUUCAUUGUGUAUAUUUACAUUUCACUGAUGAACUUAAAAUGUAAGAGACAAAGGAAUAAAACAGGAAAAAAUAACAAAUGAAUCUCUAUUUUCCUAUUUACCAAAACUAAUCCACGGAAUCGGAAUCUUCAAGAUAUAUUUCCAACACUCCCCCUCAAGCUGGUGGCCUGUAGAUGUCAAGGAUACCAAGCUUGCUCAAUAGAUAUCCAUGCUGUUUCCGACAUAACGCUUUAGUAAAGAUGUCUGCAGGUUGCUUCGUUGUUCCGAUUCCUUUUGUCACCAGGACUCCAUCUUUGAUCCUAUCCCGAGUGAAAUGACAAUCCACUUCUAUGUGUUUUGUUCUUUCAUGAAAGACUGGAUUUGCCGCUAAUUUGAGUGCAGCAUCAUUAUCACAAAACAAUUCAGUCGUUCCACUGACUUGUAUUCCGAGAUCCAGGAGUAGUCCUCAUAUCCAGACUAUUUCACAGGUAGCCUUUGCCAUGGCCCGAUACUCUGAUUCUGCGGAUGAUAGUGAGACAGUUGACUGUUUCUUUGUCUUCCAAGAAAUUAAUGACUUUCUCAGCUUUAUGUAGAAACCAGUAAUAGACCUCCUGGUCAUUGGACAGGUGGCAUAAUCUGUGUCGCAAAAAGCUGUCAUCUUCAUAUUGCAGUCACGGGAUAGAAGUAUACCAAGGCCUGGACAUCCCUUUAGAUACUUCACAACUUUCAAUGCCGCAUCCAUAUGUGAUUGCUUUGACAUAUGCAUGAACUGGCUGAGUAUUUGUACGGCAUAUGAUAUGUCAGGUCUUGUCAUUGUAAGAUAUAUCAACUUUCCGACAAGUCGCUGAUAUUCUGAAGGAUCUUUGAGCACUGAGUCCUUAAUGUUUGAAGGAGAACUUAUGUCAUAUUCAUGCGUUGUCAACUUGACAUUCUGCUCAACUGGAAUGACUGCUGGUUUACAUCCCGAUAGACCUGCUUCAGAAAUAAUCUCCAAGAUAAACUUCCUUUGACUGAGGCAAAUUCCUUCAUUGGACCGAGCAAUCUCGAUGCCAAGAAAAUAUUUUGGCAGUUCCAAAUCUUUGAUGUGAAAGGUGGAGUGUAAAUAUCUUUUGAAUUUGGCAACAUCAGAAUCAUUAUUUCCCAUGACAAGUAUAUCAUCAACAUAUAUCAACAGAUAAAUUGAUGAUGCUUUUGUAGUACGGGUAAACAAGGCAUAAUCAUACUUAGAAUGCUCAAAACCUGCAUUGGUUAGUGCAGCAGUGAAUUUGGCAUACCAUUGUCUUGAUGCCUGUUUUAAUCCAUAUAAGGAUUUGCGAAGACAACAUACUCGAGACUCCCCCUGUCUGCGUAAUCCUUGAGGAAUAUCCAUGUAGAUUUCUUCAUCGAGAUCACCGUGGAGAAAAGCAUUAUGCACAUCCAUCUGAUGGAGAGACCAAUUUCGUAUGGCAGCGACGGAUAAGAAGGAACGUACAGUGACUUCUUUAGCUACUGGGGAAAAGGUUUCAUGGUAAUCAAAACCCUCUUUUUAAGUGAAUCCCUUGGCAACUAACCGAGCCUUAUAGCGCUCAAUAGAACCAUCUGUCUUGAAUUUGAUUUUGUAAACCCAUUUGCAGCCAAUCGGUUUCCGUCUUGGUGGCAAAGGGACAAUAUCCCAUGUGUGAUUCUCCAUCAAAGCAGUAAGUUCGGAUUCCAUCGCAUGUUGCCAUCUAGGGUCUCGUGCUGCCUCAGCGAAGGAGAAUGGUUCUCGUUCUUCAGAUAUGCGACUUAUACAGCACAAAUGUCCUGGCGAUAACUGAUUAAACGAUACAUAUGAGCCAAUGGGAUAUUGUGUACCUAAAGAACUUCUUGCAGAACAUAUGUAAUCCUUUGUCCAUGUAGGUGGACGAGUGUGCCUUCCAAAUCGUCGAGGUGGCUCGAGGAUUGGUGCUGGAGGAGCCGAUGAUUCAGGGAGAAUGGGUGAAGUAGCUGUUGGUAUAGGAGAUUGGGAAAUGUCUUCAGAUAAUCCUGGCGAAGUUGCUUCUGAAGGUGAUAAUUCCAUUGAUGCAGACCAAGGUGGUCCUGAUGAUAUGGGUGGUCCUAGUGCAAUAAGACACCCUGGUGCUGAGGACAAAGAGUCAUCGGACAAAAAUAGUAUGUCGUGUCCUAAUGGUAAAGAGGACUCUGAUGAAGAAACCUUUUCCUCAAAAGGAAAUAUGUCUUCAUGGAAUACAACAUCCCUGCUAAUGAAAAAAAUCCCUGUAGAGAUCUCCAUAACUCGAUAUCCUUUCUGAAGAGAAGAAUAUCCCAUAAAAACGCACCAAGUGGCUCGAGGCCCCAUUUUAUCUCGAGGACCCACAUUUUUUGUAUAGCAUAAACAACCAAAUACUUUAAGAUGAUUAUUAUCAGGCUGUCUGUUGUAAAGCAUCUCAAAAGGGGUCCUACCAUUAAGAAUUCGAGUUGGCAUGCGAUUAAUCAAGUAAGCUGCUGUGACCACACAAUCUCCCCAAAAAUCUUCUGGAAUGGAAGCUUGAUAUUUUAGAGCACGAGCAACCUCUAACAGAUGCCUAUGUUUGCGCUCAACAAUACCAUUUUGUUGCGGAGUGUAAGUGCAUGAACUUUCAUGAAGUAUACCAUGGGAAGAUAGAAAUGUGUUGCAAUCAGAAGUGAAAAAUUCACGCCCAUUAUCUGUACGAAUUUUUUGUACAGAUUUACCAAACUGAUUUUUAAUUAUGGAAAUAAAGUUUGAUAGAUGACCAAAAGUUUGGCUUUUCAAUUGCAUAAGAUAAACCCAUGUGACUCGAGUGUAAUCAUCAACGAUUGUUAGGAAGAAUCGAGAUCCAUCACGGUGAAGAGUAUGAUAAGGUCCCCAAAUGUCCAUAUGAAGUAAAGAGAAGGACUCUGUUGUACGAGAUGUACUUUUCGGAAAAGGUGCUCGAGAUUGUUUAGCUAAAGGACAUAUUGGACAUUUUGGAUGAGGAAAAGAAGCACUGUGACCCAAUCGUUGAUGAGAAAGGAGAUUUUUAUUUGAACUGAUAGCAUUACAAGAAACAUGCUUAUUUAAUAAUUCUAAAUCUCCUGGGGAAUUGUUCCAGAAAUAGAGUCCAUCUACCACACUACCCAAGGCCAUCACUCUGCCAGUCGAAUGGUCCUGAAAAAGACAAUUGUCGGAAUUGAAUGUGGCAUGGCAAGAGUUAUCCUCACAUACUCUUGAGACAGACAAAAGAUUGAAUUCAAAUUCUGGAAUAUAUAGGACAUUUUUCAGGAUUAAAUUUGGACCAAGAUGAACGGUGCCGGUUUGGGUAACAUUUGUGAUGUUCCCAUUUGGGAGACGGACCGUGAUAGGAGAUUCUGGCAUUUUAUAUGUGUGAGAAAAAAAAAUCUGUUGCAUACUAUGUGGUCACUAGCAUCUGAAUCGAUAAUCCAUACAUCAACCAAAAACGAAUUCUUAUUGUAUAGGAAAGUACCUGAGAAUCCUGCACUUUUAUCACUAGUCUUGAGUUGAUCCAGCAUUUGUACAAUAUUCUGAUAUUGUUCUUGAGUGAUCAUCUGGUGAGGUGAUCCAUCUGCCUUUUGUACAAAAACUUGGGAAAUAAUGGAUUCUCUCUUUUUGUCAUUAGGCUUUCCAUGCAACUUCCAACAGGUCUCAAUGGUAUGAUGUGGACGUUUACAGUAGCUGCAAUAUUUAUUUUUAAAUAUGGAAUUCUGCCCACUGACCUUUCUUGCUGACGUGGCACGAUCCCAGCCGUCCGAUUCUGAUGAAGCUGCGAAUAGAUGAUGGCCGUCCGAUCCAGCGCGUCGAUCUCGUCCGUCCAAUCCAGCGCGUCGAUCUCGUCCGUCCGUUCCAGCACUGAGAUCCUAGCCGUUCGAUCCAGCGCGCCGAUCUCGUCCGUCCGUUCCAGCGCUGAGAUCCCAGCCGUUCGAUCCAGCGCGCCGAUCUUGUCCGUACGUUCCAGUGCUGAGAUCCCAGCCGUCCGAUCCAGCGCGCCGAUCUGAGCCGUCCAUCUUGGAUCGGCGAUCCCAGCCAUCCAUUCCAGAUUUUUGAUCCGAGCCGUUAGAUCGAAAUGUUUUAGGGUUUCCUCUGGUUCUCCUCGCCGUAGCCGCAGCCACGAUUUUUCUCUCCAGAUCUGUGGAGUUUCCGCCGAGAGUUGUAUCGCCGGAGGGAAGAACGGCCAAGCUCAGGCCUUCGCCUAUUCGAGCGUGUCCAGCGGCGGCCAUCCGAUGAUGCUCCUCUUGGACGGCCAACUGGUAAAUGCGACCGAGCGGUGGUGGGGGGUCCAUCGCGAGGAUUUGCGAUCGGAAAGCCGAGAAGGAUUCGUUUAAAAUUAGUAAGAACCUCGUCAUUUUCUCCCUUUCUUUAAUUUUUCGGUACUGUUGGAUGGUUUCUUCAGGACCUUCGAGUCGUUCUUCGGCGGCCUCAAGCUCAUUCCAUAGAGCGGAGAGGCGGUUGAAGCAGGAGGUAACCGAGAGGUUCCCCUGCUUCAACUCCGACAGGGCUUGGGUGACGGUGAACAGUUUCGCCCGGUCGAGGCGUCCGUACAUCUCACGGAUGCUGUCCCAGAGAGUGUGAGAGUCUUCGGUUGGUGGGAGUCCGGCAGCGAUUUUCGGUGCGAGGCAGUUCCCGAGCCAUGUGCGAACCAGUUGGUUGCACUUGCACCACUGCCGUUGAAGACGUUCGUCGGCCGGAAAAGGAACGGCUCCGUCGAGGAAGCUGUCCUUGUCUUUGGUGAUAAGGGCGCGCUGGAGAUCUCUUGCCCAGGCCGCGUAGUUCUCCGCUCCGGUAAGCUGCAUCCCGAGGAGCUUCAAUUCGGGUCCAUCGGCCGGCGACGUGUACAGAGGGUCGCCGGGUUCAAGCCGGCCGCCACUGCCAACCGGAAAAAACAACGGUGCAUAUCCGAGUUGAAAUCCCGGGUAGGGAUUCGAACCCGGGAUAGAUCCGGAUCCCUGACCCGGCGGUGUGUAUCCGGGUUGAAAACCCGGGUAGGGAUUCGAACCCGGGAUGGAUCCGGAUCCCUGACCCGGCGGCGUGUAUCCGGGUUGAAAUCCCGGGUAGGGAUUCGAACCCGGGAUAGAUCCGGAUCCCUGACCCGGGAUGGAUCCAGAUUCCGGAGCGAAAUUCGUUUGGCCCGAUGUCUCUGUGGGGCCUGUUACGGACUGCGACGGCCCAAAAGGAAGCUGGGUCCAUACCUGUCCUGGCAAUGGGCCAAAAGGAUACUGGUUCCACAGCUGUCCAUAUGCUGGAGGAAAGGUUGGAGGCCACUGGACUGGGCCGGAGGUCUGGCCCGACGCUGGAAUCAAUUGUGCAAAAAGGGUUUCUUCUGAUGGAUGAACAGAGGUUCGGUCGCCGCCAAGAGAGACAACCGGAUCUGAGGUAGGUGUCUCCUCUGUUGAGGAAUUCUCAACAUUUUUCGUCAUGGCACCAAGAAAAUUGAAUUCCUAAUCGUUUUGCUGGUCUGUUUCGCAGGUGGAGAUUAUGCAACAACAGGCCAGAAAAAGAACGAUGGCAAUUCAAAAAAAAUGCGGAAGCUAGGUCAGGAGUAUCGGCUCUGAUACCAUGACAGAAUGUGAAAUGGAGAUUUGAGAAAAGCUUUUUCUCUGUAUAUUCAUUGUGUAUAUUUACAUUUCACUGAUGAAUUUAUAAUGUAAGAGACAAAGGAAUAAAACAGAAAAAAAAAAAUGAAUCUCUAUUUUUCUAUUUUCCUAUUUACCAAAACUAAUCCACGGAAUUGGAAUCUUCAAGAUAUAUUUCCAACAUCUCUGUUGGAAAAAUUGAGAAUAGGAGUUUCAUUUCUGAGAGGGAAGGAAGACUCGUAGCAGUGAACUGAAGAUAAAAAUGUCUUCUGUUCUAUAUUAUGUUGGUGGCGUGAUCUUUGGAGGCAUUUGGGCAUUGAAGAUUCGUUGAUGGAACCCAGAUGGAGAGAGCCAAGCUCGAGAACGAGAGAAUGGUGCUUCUCAUCCACCAGAAGGAGCUCCAAUUUGCUCGAUCUUCAACAGCAGCAGCAACAUUCAUCCAAUAGGAGGAGUGGUGGCAGCGAUGAGGGUUGAAAGGCGAAGGAUUUUGAAAGAAAUUAAAAGCAAAAAACUCCGGCUCACGCAAAGCCUCGCUCCAAUUCAAAAAUUGUUUCGAUUGUGCCUUUCGUUUGACCUCCGUGAUUGGGCCAAGGCACGGUGGCACUGCUGGACGGUGGCUCUGCGACCAGGAAGAAAGCUCCGACCACCAACCCAAUCGUGGCCAAUUCGAGGGUGGAGACGCUGUGACUUGAUCGAUGGAGGAUUGAUAGCUUUGGACCCUAUUCUUACACAAGACAUGUGUGUCUGCUUGUUCCAUGAGUUAUGGAGGAUUUCUAAAGAACAACCACCUCUCGCUCAAUUCGUAGUGCAUGCUGGUGGUUUAAUUGACUGAAAACUGAAAAGUGGUAUGUGCAAGUCUGGUAUGUGCAAGUCUGAUACCAGUGGAUGCCUUAAGGCUUUUACUUUAUUUCAAGGACUGAGAAAAGGGCACUAGCAAUCACGGUAUUUUCACUCUGGCCUCGGUUAGUUCUCUGUAAUUGGGAUAUGCUUCGAGCUUUCCCUUUGUUCAAGACUUUUUUUUCUGCUUGGAUGCUUUUUCGUGUUUGAUUUAUCGAGGAGACUAAGGUGAUUUGUGUAGUUCCCUUCCUUUUCAUUCAGAUGUAAGUUGAUGACUGUGUGUGAGUUGACUAUGAGAAGUUGAAUUAGCUUGUGAAAAUCACUAGCCUACUGUUUGUUUGCACCUUUCAGCUAGAUCGAGAAUUUGAAUUCUAUAACUAUGACAGGCCAACAAAAAUUGGUUCAUUCUUGACACAUAGAUCACCAACCACCAACAAGAUAACUUGCGUUGGUUCUGUGAGAUGAGGUAUUGAAUGUUAAAGCUACUACUAGAUUGUGUUUCCUGAGUAUAAAAUGCAGGUGCCUGUGUAGUCUGCCUUCUUGUUUUUGGAGUGCUUUUGGCGUGGACUUUAUUCAGGAACAUUCACCAUGGUUUGGAUCCCUGACCUACAUAAUGCAAUACAAGGGGGAAAAUGAUUUUUUGUUGUUAUCUAAACAUCUCUAAACUCUCGUCAUCAUAUUGAAAGCUAAUUUAUCAAUUCCCUAUGCUCGGUCACCAUUGCUAAUUUUUUUAAAAGAUUUUUUAAUCCUUGUACUGAUCUUCUGUGCAUCUUACUCUAAUAUUUGGUUCAUGUCCAUUCAUCAGUGAUUUUUCUAAUGUAUCUUGCCUGAUGCUGUCAAAAUAUUCUAAAUCUCCUUCUCUUUCAUACCUGUCUUUUUUCUUUUGAUGUUUUAUCUCUGACUUUAUUCGGCAGGAAUUCGUUUUUACAUAGAAGAUGGCAAGCCCAGAAGAAAACAAUGAUGUGAAAACUCUGGAAACACAGCCCGAUAAGCGGAGAAACAAGAAGUCCAUCAUCUGGGAACACUUCACAAUAGAAAUUAUGAGUCCUGGACGUAUAAGGGCAUGCUGUAAGCAGUGCAAGCAAAGUUUUGCCAAUGGCACAGGCUCAAAGGUCAUUAGCACCAGCCAGCAAAGUAAGUUAACACAAUGCUUCAGGGGUAGUCAUGUUCUGGAUCAUUGGAGGCAUUAAAAUGGAUCACGGUGCCUCAUCAAAUUUUACAAACCUUAAAAUGAUCUUACCAAUGUUCCAAUGAAUAAGUUAGCAACCAACAUUUUCUCAAGUUUUACAAGUGUAGCACUCUAAUAAAUUUACAAAUAUGUCAAUAAAUUAGUAAGUUUGUAACAACUAAAAAUUUUCUAUAGUUAGUGUUAACAAAAUUUUUUUGGUCAUAAGCAAGCUUUUCAUUCACUGAGUACAGGCCCAAUUACAUGAAAAAGGGGCAUCAAUUGGUUUACGGCAGACCCAUCAAUUAGUUUCCCCUCGAAAUCACGGCAGAUGCAUGCCAUGGAACCUUUGGAAGAUCCUUCAUGGAAAGUUAUGUCAAUGUUUGGCUUGAGAACUUGGUAGUUUCCAUCUUGUGGGUAAGUGUCUUGGGCUGCUUCUAUUCUCUUAUUCUCGGCCAUUCCAUUUCGAGAGAUUCAUAUGCAUAGCCAUGAUAGACGCCAUUGUUGUUGCAGGAUCUGGUAAGUGAUGCUUGAAAAUAAAGGAAUAUCUUUAUGUCCAAAUAUGCCAAAAAGUGACCGCGAUCAGUUCAAAAGAUGGGGAGCUUUGAGGUGAUUACCAAUCUCCAAUGGCCAUCCUUCAAUUCAAAUAACUUCUUGAUUUGAAAUCUCAAUGCCUAUCUCAGAGGCCAACCUUAUCUGUUUCGUCCUUUGACAAAGAAGGAACAGAUGUUUGACAGUAUCAAGUUCCUUUUCGCAAAGAGAGCAUCUCGACUCAGGUACAAUCUUCCUUCUGAAUAGGUUUUCUCUUGUGGGUANNNNNNNNNNNNNNNNNNNNNNNNNNNNNNNNNNNNNNNNNNNNNNNNNNNNNNNNNNNNNNNNNNNNNNNNNNNNNNNNNNNNNNNNNNNNNNNNNNNNNNNNNNNNNNNNNNNNNNNNNNNNNNNNNNNNNNNNNNNNNNNNNNNNNNNNNNNNNNNNNNNNNNNNNNNNNNNNNNNNNNNNNNNNNNNNNNNNNNNNNNNNNNNNNNNNNNNNNNNNNNNNNNNNNNNNNNNNNNNNNNNNNNNNNNNNNNNNNNNNNNNNNNNNNNNNNNNNNNNNNNNNNNNNNNNNNNNNNNNNNNNNNNNNNNNNNNNNNNNNNNNNNNNNNNNNNNNNNNNNNNNNNNNNNNNNNNNNNNNNNNNNNNNNNNNNNNNNNNNNNNNNNNNNNNNNNNNNNNNNNNNNNNNNNNNNNNNNNNNNNNNNNNNNNNNNNNNNNNNNNNNNNNNNNNNNNNNNNNNNNNNNNNNNNNNNNNNNNNNNNNNNNNNNNNNNNNNNNNNNNNNNNNNNNNNNNNNNNNNNNNNNNNNNNNNNNNNNNNNNNNNNNNNNNNNNNNNNNNNNNNNNNNNNNNNNNNNNNNNNNNNNNNNNNNNNNNNNNNNNNNNNNNNNNNNNNNNNNNNNNNNNNNNNNNNNNNNNNNNNNNNNNNNNNNNNNNNNNNNNNNNNNNUUGGGGAGCGCCCUUUUUUUUUUUUUUUUUUUUGAAAAACCCCCUCCCCAAGGGUGUUUCCCAAAUGUGUGCCCCUUUUUUCCCCAUGUAAAAAAAUUCAUUAAAGUUAAGUCCCCCCCCCCCCCCCCCCCCCCCCCCCCCCCAACCAACAAACCCCCAACCAAAUUGAAGGAAGCUGGUUUUGGAGGUUGAUUAUUGGAGGGUGUACGAAGGUAAUUCUCAUCUGUUUUCUACUAUCUGUACAAAUUAGGUCAAACAUUUCAUUGUGACUGAGUCCAUUGUUGGCACCACCCUGUCAAUUGGUAAAAUUGCUGAUCCCCCUGCUAUUCCAUUUGAAGUCAUCACCGCACAGUUCUGGAAUUGGAUUUGUUUCAAGCUCAUACCACAGGUUCUUGACUCUUUGUGCUCAUCAGAAAAAUAAUGCCAGGCCUUUCCAGAGCCUCAAUGCCAAGAUUGUCUAGGGUGUGCCCAACCACUGAUAAUUCCAGCAUAAAAUUUUCAUGGGAACCUCAAUGGCUUAUUAGUGCUAGCCACCAAAGCCCGUAUUUGAGGAUCCUCCCAAAUCUGAAUUGAAGUUUCCAAAAGUUUGGUCUCAUCCAAGGCAAGAGAGUUCACCUUUUGAGAAGCAUAAAGACUAUACCUUCACUGUGUUUUGUCUCCGCCUGUUUUCUUCAUCUUGCUACAUUUCUUUUGGGGCCCUUUUGAGCUGCCUUCUAGCAUUGUAGAGUCGUUUGGAGCUGUUAUCAGCAUCAAGCUCUUUUCUUAGUUUNNNNNNNNNNNNNNNNNNNNNNNNNNNNNNNNNNNNNNNNNNNNNNNNNNNNNNNNNNNNNNNNNNNNNNNNNNNNNNNNNNNNNNNNNNNNNNNNNNNNGGUGUGGGGUGGUUUUGUAUGGGUUUGCUAAUUGGGCGAGGAUUAACCAGGACUGUUCCUUUCAGCUAAUAUGAUGGUCAUUGAUUCCAUGCCUUGUAGGGCAUGAUGCUAUCAAAGGGAGAUCGGGUUGUAUCAGAAGUUGGGUUUGGGUUAGCUUAUGGAACAGUGAAUAUGGUUCAUGGGAAGGUUGGGGAUUUUGCGUAAAGGGUCAAAGUUGAAAAGGAAAUGGGAGAUUUUCAUCUUGGUAAAGAGUAGAUGAAAUGACUGCUUUAUUCAGCGAAGAACAUCAGGGUUUUCUGGGGUGAAAACUGCCACCGUUGGGGUAGGAUUCCCACCGAGAGAGGAUAUCCACGAAUUCCAACUCAAUUAGGUAAAAUUUUGGUGGAAAAGGUGCAAAAUGAUACAUUCCAAAGACACGGCGAACGGGUUUAAAUUUACAUUCCUAUUUGAAGUUCAUAUUUCUACAAGCCAAACACAUGUUCAAGGGAACAAGAAACCGGGAAUGAAAAAUUUCCCUUUCCAUUGAAAAUAAAAAUUGCAGACUUUGUCAUUGACCAUAAGGCUCCUUAGAACUUCAAUGUGGGUUUUCUAGUUCUUUUCUUUAAUUUGUAGUUUUCAUUUUGGGCUGAGAAUUGGAACGCCGUUGUCACGCUUUAUGCAGCAAUUGUUGAGGCCACCGCAAGGUCUCCAUCCUGAACAUCUAUUUAUUGUAUAGAAGCCCACAGUACUUGCCAUAUUUCAGUGAUGCAGGCACCAUGUCAUUUUUGAUAAUAAUUGUUCUCAUGUUUAGCAGUAGUUGAUCAACCACAAAAAAAAGCCCGACAUUAAUGGAAGAUCCUUCGUCACACUAUGCACAAAAUGAAGAAGAAAAAAGUUGAGUUCUUUCUAGAGAAGAGCAAGCACCACUGCAUGCACGAGCAGAAUUGGGAUUCGCAUUUUCUGCUACGUCCUUUGCUCUUGGAAACUAUUCUUUUGUGUAAGAAACAAUGCUGCCGCUGAAGCCUGCAAACUUCGAAAGAGCCUGAGCUUUCACGCAUGACUUCAAUAGCUCCUCAUCUUAAUGCUCUUGGGAAAGCGUCUAUCUAUUGUACGCCUCUUAAAUAGCUCCCUUCCAUUAUUACUAUGGGUGAGCAGCAAAAGCAUCUAUCUAUCGAACACCUCCCAAAUAGCUCCCUCCUAUUAUUAUUAUCCUUGCUAUUUCCCACACAGUAGCCUCAACAAAUAGACAUUGAUUUAUAAUAAUUGUUUUCAUCCAAAUUACGGUAUCUCUUUUAUGUUGCUUGCCUCCUUUCAAAAAUUGCAAAUUGGCACAAGAAAAAUUAUAAAUGAGCACAAUAUGAGAUUCCAUAAUUAAAUUGUUUAUGAUAAAAAAAAUCGCAAAAAUCAAUAUUACUUGGAACAGUCGGCCCGAAAGUUAAAGCAAAGAGGCAAGAACAUUUCUUUCCCUCACGGAUGGACGAGCCAACCCUCUUUUUAUUUCUAUUAGCAAAGCUUUGCAUGCUGAAGCUUUCUAAUGUCCUAUUUAUAGGGACCAAUCUACUGCUUCAGGAACCUUAGCUUUUGCAACGAAAUUUUUUGAAUUGUGUAGCCAAAAUUCCUGAACGAGAGAUUCACACGUUUAGCCACGAAGAUUGAAGCCCACAAAUUUUAAAAUACGAAAUCCUACAUUUUAGGAACCUUAGCUUCACGUACCACAUCNNNNNNNNNNNNNNNNNNNNNNNNNNNNNNNNNNNNNNNNNNNNNNNNNNNNNNNNNNNNNNNNNNNNNNNNNNNNNNNNNNNNNNNNNNNNNNNNNNNNCUUCUAAAAAAGUAGAGGUCAUGAUGACUUGGAGACACGGAAAGGAGGAGCGAUUGGGAAAAUUGAGAAAAAUAAUUGAUGAAUGCAUUUCCAUAGUACGAUGGGGAUUGCCGUCUCUAUCUUAUCCUCGAUACAAUUGGAAAGUUUGGAAUAAUUGACUGAAUUUAACCUGUUAUGCACAAGCAUUUAGGAAACACGGGAAGAUUUGAAAUAUAGAAAAAUUUUAAGUAUUGCUGAAAGAGAGAAAUUGAGUAAAUUUUAUGUAUUUCUAAAAGGAAAAUUUUACUACUCGAAAUUGUGUGUGGGUGAGUGGUUUCUUUCUUUUGUUAUUCUAAAUUGCAUAUAGCGUAGAGAUUAGUACUUGAUUGAUGAAAUUUGGGAUUUUGAUGAUGUUAGCAAAGUGUUAGUAGAGUCAUAAAUAAGCACUAUCACUAUCAAAUCUGACUUAUAAUUUUCUUGAAGCACUUCUUUUGAAGAAUGAUUCGCUUCCUCCAUUUAAAAUAUAUUUGGUUAUGUUUAUUCCCUUAAGCAAAUUCUUUCCAUUUCAUAUUAUCCAUCAGUAUGCUCAAUCGGAAGAACAAUUGCUUCAACUAAUUCAUAUGUUCUCUUCAGCAAAUUCCUUAAGUUCAGCCAUCUCAGUCCCUUAACAAUUCUUUUCAUGGUAAAUUAUUAGUAUGUUUUUGAGCAAUUGCUAUAUUUUCUUCACAAGAUUCCCCAGCCAUCUUAGAUUCCUUAAUCAUAUUUACAUGUCAAACUUGACCAAGUGCGGAACACUGAUCAAAUUCAUUAUGUCUAGAAAAAUCAUGUUAUGAUUUUAUGUUAUGUUCAUUCAAGCGUCAGAAUAUAGCAAUCGAGGCUCAAAAUGGAUGUGAAGUUAAAGUUGAGGCACUAGAUCAAGGCAAUGCAUAAAAGCCCCCCAAACGGUCACCGUGUAUAUAGGUUUCUAGAAGGUUCGCAUUCCCUGACCUCAAUUGGGGGAAAGAUCUCGAGGGAUGGUCCACAAAACGUGUAUGAUGGUCAAGCCAUGAAGGAUCCCCCCUUGUCACUCCGCCCACCCCCCCAUGUGUUUGUCCGCCGUGUUGAAAGCGUCACAGUUGGAUAAUCAAGAGCUUGAGCCUGAGCAUUGGCAACGUUGAUUCCACCGACCGAGCUCUGGAUCAAAAACCCAAUCACUAGCUUGUCGACCACAAAGUUCUUACAGGAUGAGGGAAGUUGUGCUACUAUGACAUGCAUCUCUUCAUUCUCGAAUUAUAAAGCCGAUAUUCCAGGGCGCUCUUGCAUUGUUCUGUUGGCAAUAGACUUGCCGAAAGUAGAAAAAUUCGAUGAAGCGAACAAUUAAUUGAAGCAUGCUGAAGUUCAAGCUGCCACAAAACGGUGCAAGGGAAGUACAUNNNNNNNNNNNNNNNNNNNNNNNNNNNNNNNNNNNNNNNNNNNNNNNNNNNNNNNNNNNNNNNNNNNNNNNNNNNNNNNNNNNNNNNNNNNNNNNNNNNNNNNNNNNNNNNNNNNNNNNNNNNNNNNNNNNNNNNNNNNNNNNNNNNNNNNNNNNNNNNNNNNNNNNNNNNNNNNNNNNNNNNNNNNNNNNNNNNNNNNNNNNNNNNNNNNNNNNNNNNNNNNNNNNNNNNNNNNNNNNNNNNNNNNNNNNNNNNNNNNNNNNNNNNNNNNNNNNNNNAUUGAUUUAACCUUUGUGGUCUAUUUUUAUCGAAAAUCAUUGAUGUGAUGAUUUAGUUAUCUUGGAUUGUCCAGGAAUCUCCAUUAAAAAUUGAUCAUAAAAGCUAUAUUAAAAUAUCGCAUAAAGGUUUAGAAUUAAAUUGAAGAGAUUGCAAAAUUAAAAACUAAAUUGACGUCCAUACAAUGAGUUUAGAAUUGAUUGGAUAAUUUUUUCCAUAUGAUAACCGAUUUAAAAUACAAAAAACAUUCACGAGUAUGACGUACAUGGCACGUGGUACGAUGCAUGUGAUCCUACGUACCCAUUCAUAUCUUAUUCCCUGUUGCCUAUCUUUGAGCUACAAGCAUUGCAAAAAUUAUGCCAUGCCUUCAAUUUUUUAAUUUAAAAAAAAAAAGACCGUUGAUGGUUUGGUUGAAAAAUCAUCUGAAGGUAACCUUGGAGCAAAAUUCAUUUUGAAACUAGACAUCAUUUAUCACUCAUUGUUAUUGGGUAUGGAAGCACGAUAGUAGAAGCACGAGAAAAUUGUAAUGAGCAACUCGGGUCAGGACAUACUUAAUUGAAAAUAUGGUAUGAAUAUAACAUACACAAAACAAGAAUUGUUGCACAAUUAUCACACACAUAUUUUAUGAUUAGUGAAAGCUUACACUUACUAUUAAGAUUGUUUUUCUCACAUGACACGCAAAAACACUUGAAGCGAAGUGAACUCUUUUUUGCUUCUUUCCCGCACGGACGAGGCAACUCUUUCUUUUUCUCCUUGGUUUAGAGCCCAAAAACUUUGAAAGAACCUGAGCUUUCACGGAUGGCUUCAAUAGCUCCUCCUCUUCAUUUUCUUGUGAAUGCAUCUAUCGUACGUCUCCCAAAUAGCUACCCUACUAUUACCCUUACUAUUUCCUACGUAAUAGCCUUGACAAGUAGACGUUGAUUUCUGAUAAUUGUUUGCCAAAGAGAAUAAUUACAGAAUCUCUUGUCAAUAUCUCGAUUCGAUGAUGUGCGUGCUACACAGAACUUGAAUAAGAGUGAAUAAAGGCUACUCGGACAAAACUUCAGGCGGACGAUUCGGAGAACGUACUGAUUGAUGUGGGUGCUUUAACCCUCUUUUCCUUUUGCUUUUAAAAAGCUAGAGCAACCAGCGUGUUUCACAUUGACGCCAGAAGGAAGAGGCUCGUGACUUUGCAGACUCGGAAAAGAAGAGCGGUAAGGACAGAUGAGGAAAGCGACAAAGGUCCCCUGGGAAGCAGUCGAUCAAAUAUUAUAUGUGAUUCUUUACAGAUCGCUCAAGCACUGUGAAUUCGCGAUGAGACGGGGGUACUGCGGGUUCAUUGAGUGAAGUAGAGAGGUCUCUCUGUUUCUCUGCAUCUGUCGUCAUGAAUAUUAGCAGAAAGAAGAGAGAGGAGAGGGAGAUAGACGUGCGUGCACAGUCCACAUGAGAUAGAAAGACUGAUUUUUCCAUUUGCAAAACACAAUGAUUGAAAAAGCCGUCGACCGAUGUAGUGGAGGUGUAAUUGCAUGUCGCAAUGCAUUGCUUGUGACUCGAAUCAGGAAAUUACCAUUCAUCAUCCUUCAUCAAAUUAAUUGUGAAUGAAGUGGUUUUGGUCAUUUUUCAUUCAGAUCUAAUAGAGAUAAAAUCCCACUCGUGACUUGUAAGGUGUAACAUGGGGUUAUUUUCCUUUUUUUUUUUUCUUUUCAAUGUUCUUCUUGUCGUUGUUUUUUCACACCCAGACACAACCGUUAUUUCUUCAAGAAAAUCCACGAUUACCCCCCCUCCCCCCCUUCCUUUCUCUCUCUCUCUCUCUCUCUGGCCACGUGCGAAAGGAGUAGGAGUUUCUUUCGGUAGGAAAGAGAAGGAUAUUUAACAAAAAUAAAUUAAAGAAAAAGGAAGGAGAAAAGUGUGGGAAAUGGAAAAGAGGGCAUCCGAAAGGAGAGGUACUAUUCGUUUUGUAAAUAUGAUUUCUACUAUGCUAAAGAAGCCAACAAGGUUCUCCUUUAACUUAGCACGAAGAUAAAUUUAUAAUUCACAAGAGAUGUGAUGUGAGAGAUAACACAAAUGCAACAAAUUAACUUCUCAUCAUUUUGAGUAAUCCAUAACCAAUUAAACAAUCGAUGCUCGCCUUAUUAAGAAUUUAUCUUUUAAUAAUAUAAUAACUUGAGUUGACGAGGAUGUACAGUGAUCGUUAGAGUUAGAAAGUCUAGAUAGAGAGUGGCUCUUGACGGACUUUUAAGAUGACAAAAUAGACAUAAAUGAAUCGAAUUGUGCAUCAUAUAAUAAGAUAGCGAUUUUGAAAUAUAUAUAUAUAUAUAUAUAUUGAAAUUAUAUUAGGAUCCCACAACGACUCAAUUCGGAAUAGUCAACAAAGCUCAAGGAUCUAGAUAAAGAACCGUUCUUAUUAAGGUUUUAGGAUGACGAAAUGGUAGGAAUAAAUCAAAUGGGAGGCCGAUUCACACAUUAACACACAAAGGUUUCAGCCCACAAAUUUUGAUGGGCAAAAUCCUAAACUUUAUGAACCUUGGCUUCACGUACACGUCAAGAGCUCCUCAUCCUUCAUUUUCCUGUGAAAGCAUUUAUUGUGUCCCCCAAAUAGUUUCCUACUGGUGGACUUACUAUUUGCUACAUAGUAGCCUAUGGACGUUGAUUUCUAGAUCCAAUGAUGCCCCCGCUACACGGUUCGAUUAGAGGACAAAUAAUUCACGCGGAUUUUUCUGGGAACGUACCGAUCCAUCGUGUCGGUGCUUUAAGCUUUUCCCAUUUUCUUUUGGACCUUCAACCAGCGCGUUUCACAUUGACCCUAAAAAGAAAAGUUCAUGAUGGCCUUGGAGACUUGGAAAGAUAGGUGAUAGGAUGGAUGGGAGAAAUAAUUGGCGAAUGCUUUUUAGUAAUGUGAUGGUGGUUGUGUCUUCAAAACAAUGUUGCUAAUGUCAUUUGGGCCAAAAAUCAAAGAAAAGUAAGUGAGAACAUGAGUGCCCGAUGGUUUUAUGAUCUUAAAUCAUUGUCCUUGUCAUUGUCAAAGUUCAUAAGUUAAUUAAGAACAAUAUUGUUGAUUUGCUUGCACAUAAAAAAGAGAGCAUAAUUUCUUAGAGCUAUGAGUUAAGCCUAUAAAAUGAAAUAUGUUUCAUAUAUAGAUCUAAAUGGAUACAAUGAAUCAACUUAUUAGAUAAAAGUAAUAGUGACUCACCAAAAAACUUUCAAUGGGUAAUGGGUACACGUGACACUUUUGUGAGUGAUGUCUAUCUUAACUUUUUAUUUUUUGAAAAAUUUUCCUUAUACCUUUCCACUGUAAUCAAACUAAAUAUUUUUCAGAUUUAGUUCAAGGUGCGUAUAAUUACUUUUGAUAUUCCAAAAUUCUCUUAACCUCAUGAAGAUUAAGUAUACUCCUUGAAUAAUUAUUUCUUGUGAUCACGGUAACAUAAUUAUAGUGGCAAUAUCGCUAUUAUGUUCUUUUCUUUCUUUUCUUUUUUCUUUUUUUCUUUUUUAAUGGGAGUGGUUGUCAAGGCCGAUUAGGAGCAGACGUCCAGGGCCAGGAGUGAGGACCCCGAGAUGGCAACAAUUAAGGAAUUGUUUUUAGUCAAUUUACAAUCAAAUUUUUUGGUCAAAUUUGAACAAGUCUCUAGUCAACACAUGAAAAGGUCAAAAUAAUUAUUUUAGAAUUUUAUGCAAAAUUUCACGCAAAUAAUUAGAUAUUGGAUUUAUAUUGUUCAGUCCGUGAAGCUUAUCCACGGGGAAAACAACACAAAAUUUCACUAUAAAUCAAACGAUAUGAUAAAGUUUACAUGGUACUUUCAAUAUUUCUCAGCUCCCAUUGUACCCAUUAACCACCAUGGCAUUUGGCUUCACGAUUCAUCAUGAAGUAAUCUUGAAUUCACAAAUAUUACCAUAAGAUUAAGUUACUGUUUGGUAACAUGUUGAACAGUAACUAUUUUUUUUCUUUUAUUCCUUGAAAAAAAAAAUCCGUUUUGUAACUUUUUUAUUCUUAGGAAUAGAUUUGGAACGGAAUCGAGAAAUAAAAAAAAACUGCUUUUUUGUUUCCAAGAACAACUCAAUAAUCAAGUCCAAAUCAUUUUUUUUCCUCUUUUCUUUUCUUUCUUUUUCUCUUCCUCUUCUUCUUCCUCUAAUCGUUCGCUAGGCACCGUGAUGGCCAAGGUUUGGCAACCUCUCCGUGGUCGAGUCUCACCAUGGCUAGGCGAAGCUCGGCCUCGUCGAGUUUGGCAAGGCUCCCCCGAGGCUAGCAAGGUCAUUAGCCAUUAUUGUGGCUGGUGACUCGCUAGAGGAAGAAGAAGAAGGGAAUGAAAAGAAAAAAAGGAAAUUUUUCAUUAAGUAAAGGAAAUGCUAUGUUAGAAAAAAAUUCAAGAGCAGUACCAAGUGCAUUUCUAUUAUUUUUUUUUAAUUUCAAGAAUAGAAAUUUUGUACAAUUAUCAAACAUCUUCGAAUGUUUAGAAACUCAUUCAGAGAAUAGAAUUAGAAAAAAAAUUAUUUCUCAGCGGAAAUUAUUCACAUGAACAGAAUGAUUACCAAAUACACCUUAAGUAGGUUUGAACAUUUAAAGCUCAUCUUAGAUGUAAUUCAGGAAAAAGACCAACUAUUCACGCGGACGUUUUCUAGGAACAUACUAUUGUGUUGGUGCUUUAAGCUUUUUUCCUUUUUCUUUUGGACUAGCAACCAAGGCCUUUCACAUUGAUACUAAAAAGAAGAGGUUCAUGAUGACCUUGGAAACUCGGAAAGAAGAGUAGUAGGGCCAGAUGAGAAAAAUUAUUGAUGAAUGCUUUUAGUAAUUGGAUGGUGGCGGUGUCUCUCCCAUAUCCUCGAUGUAGUUGGGAAAUUGGAAUAGUUGACAGAAUUGAACUUGCUAUGUACAAGCAUUUAGGAAAUACCUAAAUUCAUUAGGGAUUUGAGAUAUAGGAAAGUUUUACGUAUUGUUGAAAGUGAGAAAUUGAGUAAUUUACCUAUUACUACUAGCAAGUUGGGCAAAAAACAUAACCUAGUCUUAUUAUAUGGUAAAAUCGUGUAAUUGAUUAGAUACACCGAUGGUAAUUUAGAAACAAAGUCAACAAAUGCAAUAGGAAGUCAUCAACAUCUUUAGAAAUUCACUGGAGGCUCACCGACAACCACGAAGAAGAAAGCAGAAAAGAAAAGGAAAAAAAAUCAUAAAAAAUCAUAAAAAAAUUCGAAAAAGUCAUAAAAAUUGCCACGUCAGCAUCCGGCCACCGGUCGACGUCCAUGUCAGCGCCGGCCGGCCAAAAUUGACCAGAUGGAUUGAAUUGGUACCAACAUUAAAAGGUUUAGGACUGAAUUAGUCCAAUUGAAAAGUUUAUGACUGAAUUGGUACCAAUGUAAUAGAUUUAAGACUUUUUGGUACUUUUCCCGGCAAACUGUAGUGCUGAUAUGAAAAUCAUAUCGUCUUGAUUCCAUUCAGCAUUGAGAUAGAACCGCCACCAGAUAAUGCCUAAAAGCAAAAGGCCACGACUAAUCACGCGGAGGAAGACUCCAAGCAGUGGAAAGGAACGGCGCGCUUGGAGCAGUGAAUGGAAUGAUCAUCCACCGGAUGUUGCCGAGAACCGAACGUCGAGGAUGAGGAGUUUUGACCACAAGAAGGCAACGAGUGAGUAGUUGUUUUUUGGUCAAUUUGAAGGCAUCUCCAGAUUCCUUGUGUGAACACAUGAAAUACAUGAAACUACUUACGUGCUGUGAGAGAUUAAAAUACACAUUAUAGUCGAGCAAUCAUGCCUUGACUCUUGCUUUCCCCCCUUCCUCUUUACCAGCCACUCUAUAAAUGUGGCGCAGAGAGAGUCCACUAAUUAUUUCCUGCUCAAACCUAUCCACAAUAGUCGAGCCUCUGUGAGAGAGAGAGAGAGAGAGAGAGAGAGAGAGACCGUGCUCUGCGAUGGAAGAACGACAAUUCAAGCGAGCAAAAUUCGCUGAAGCUUCGAGUUCGUCCUCCUCUGAGACUGGAAACAAUUACUAUGUAUUCCUAAGCUUUAGAGGUCCCGAUACUCGCAAUGGCUUCGUCGAUCACCUCUACCAUACACUGCGAGAUGUGGGCCUGCCGUUCCAUAGUAACUUCGUGUUCAGAGAUGAUGAGGACCUCCCCUUCGGUGAGGACAUUGCUGCAAAUCUUCUUAGUGCAAUUGAGCACUCUAAGAUUUCAAUCCCAGUCAUCUCAGAAAAUUAUGCUGCUAGCGAAUGGUGCCUUCGCGAGCUCAUUCAGAUAAUGAAGUGCCAGAAAAAAGGACAAAAAGUCUUCACCGUGUUUUACAAGGUGAAACCCUCUGAGGUGCGAGAACUAAAGGGGGCAUUUGGAGAGGCCUUUAGAUCCAAUAUGCCUCUUUUUAAGGAUGAUGUCAAGGAGCAAGGGCCAGAAGCACUCAGAGAAGCAGCUGCUUCUAGAAUAUUCGAAUCAGAUAAAUUUGCUAAUGGGUACGUCGUUUACCUUGUUUUAACAUGUCCUUAUCGCAAGAAGAAUUUUCCUAUUUAUCAUCCUUAGUCCUCGUUUUGUGGAUCCAUUAAUAAGUUCUCAUGUGUUGUGUUGUUUGACAGACGUGAAGCGGAAUUAAUAAAAGAACUCAUACGAGUAAUAAUGUGUGAGCAGCAACAUGAUUUCCUACUACCUCUUCCUGGGAACUUUAUUGGAAAUGAUGAUCGUGUGGCUGAGGUAAUGAAAUUGGCAAACACUGAUCCUUCCAAAACACAAAUUAUUGGGAUUUGUGGGAUUGGUGGCAUUGGUAAGACAACUCUGGCCAAAAACAUCUAUAAUAAGCUUGCUAAGAAAUUUGAGUGCUGUAGCGUUCUUAUGGAUAUUAGAGAAACAAUUAAUCGCAAUGGUAUGGAGCAUAUCCAAAAUCAACUAAUCUCAGAUAUAUCAAGAAAUCAGGGAAGUUGUGUGCCUGAUUCUAUGAGAGGGAUUGUAAACAUCCGAUCAAGUUGUGAAAAAAAAAAGGUACUUAUUAUUCUUGACGAUGUGGGUCAUCGAGACCACCUUGAUAAAUUGAUUGGAGGUUGUAAUUUCGGGUUAGGAAGUAGAAUCAUCAUUACUUGUCGAGAUAAGGCCCUCUUGAAGUCUGAAUAUAAAUGUUAUGAACUCGAAGUAAUGAAUGACAAACACUCUAUGCUUUUGUUUAGCUUGUAUGCAUUUGGAGCAAAACAACCUCCAACAGAACUUGCAACUCUUUCUAGGGAUAUUGUUGCCACCAUAGGAGGGCUUCCUCUAGCUCUCGAGAUUAUAGGUUCAUAUCUCAAAGGAAAAAGAAAAGAUGAAGUCAUAUGGAUAGAGACGCUAGAGAAAUUGAGAAAGGUACCUCAUACGGAUGUACAAGAAAAGUUGAAGAUAAGUUACAAUGCAUUGGAACAUAAUGAGAAACAAAUGUUUCUAGACAUAGCAUGCUUUUUCAUUGGAUAUGACAAAAGAUUUGCCACCUACCUGUGGAAGGAUAUCCAAUUGCAUCCAAAUUCCGGAUUGGCAAGAAUGAUUGAACUUUCGUUAAUAAAAUAUGAUGAUGGUGGUAACUUGAGAAUGCAUGAUCAUUUAAGAGAUUUAGGCAGAGCUAUUGCCCAUCCCGAAGGUACGCAGCCUUGGCUUGUAGCAGACUAUGGGUGAGAAGCCAUGAAAGUUCUAAGACGCAAGGUAAUGGUUAGUCUACUUUGGCUCUCCCAUGUUCUCUAAUGGUAGCUUUUUAAAUUAUUAUCUUAUCAAUCUUAUUUUUUCUUCUAUAUCUUAGAUUAUUCUCAACGCGUUGUUAGCAUUUCUUGGUAAAAGCUACAUCCAAUUUUGGCCUUUUGUUCAUGAAAAGUUUGCACUCAUGAUUAUGAGGCUCAUACAAUAGCUAUUAAAAUUGUUUACUAUUAACUCUUCCUAUUUUGCUCGUGUCGUUUUAACAUCAUUUUCUAGCAGAUUUGAUAUUGCUUCUUACUAUUUUACUAUUUUACUUGUUGAAGACCGAGCAUCACAGAGGUUUGAAAGUUUACUUAAUGCCACUUAUAAAUCCAGUCCCUCACACUCUAAAACGCAUUAGAGACUUAGAGUCGUUAUAACUUUAUGCCGAUUGGUUUAUAUUAUUCAACCAAACAACAAAACCUUACUUUUGAUCAUUACUUUUUGGUCAUUCAUUCUAUCUUCCCAAAACAUAUGAGCAAUUUAUAGUACGUGGUGUGAGGAUAAAUACAUGGAUCACAUAUUACCCACCUUUUUUACUAUCGAAAUCUUACUUCUCCAAAAUAUGAAGAAUUUUUACAAUUUGUUUUCUAGGAUUUAUUAUGCAUGUUCACGAUGUAAAUCCAAUAUGAUAAUGCAAAUAUAGAACUACAUGAAAAUUAAAGAUUUAGUUUAAAUUGUAUUACUCAGUGAAUGUUAUUAACAUAAUUGAAGCAAGCACCUUGAAAUAUAUCGAUUUUAGAAAUGCAUAAUUCUGUUAAUAACGUGGUUGGGUUAGUUAAUAACAUGAAACAACACUACUUAACUUGGAUGUCUCUUAGUCAACAAUAAAUAGAAAGCUCUUAUUUUUCUUUUCACUUGAAGGACUGGUAAAUUUAAAAAAAAAAAAAAAUCAAAUUCUCUAUUGUGACUUUGGCUUUUCUUUUAUUGUCGCCUAUACCAACUUACAAUCAAAUUAACAAAUUACCAAAAAAAAAAAAAAAGGAAGAUUGUUCAAGAUACAUUAAUUAUAAAGGAAUUGGCAUAUUUAAUGAUAUCUAGUUUUAAUUAUGAGCUCCACAUGUGUACGAUGGAUCAAUCAUGUUCUUUCAUAUGAAAGAUGAGAACUCACAGGAUUUUGAUAUGUGAUGCAACAACAUAAGGCUGUUCCAUUUCUACCCAGCUUUCAUAAUAUAUACUUGUAUUCAUAUUGAUGCUAUGCACGGAUCUAGUUAGGGGUAUUUUGAGCACAUAAUUCAACAUUAACAAAUGUUGUGCAAAAUCAAACGAUAGUAAAUUACGACAAAAGAAACUAAAUAACAACUGGUAUAUGAUUUUAUACAUAUUCAUACAUAGUGAUUUUCAAUUAAAAAAAAAACUGAAAAGGAAAUAACGAUGUUAAGAAAUUAAAUAAUUGUAGGAAAUAAGUGAUGGAAUAAUGAAAGGUAAAAGAAAUUGUGCUCUCCUCCUUUUAUCUGCCUUUGGUGUAAUAUAAUAUCCACCUCUAAUAUGUAGUGAGCGAGCCUUUCUCGGUACAGAUUAAUUGAGCCUCUGUGCACACACACCAACAGAGGAGACAAAAAUCUAUUGUUAGAUUUUAGUGAAGAAAAAACAAAUAAUUAACUUAUUAAAUGAGAUAACUGGAGGAGCAAAAAAUAAAUGUUAGAAUGCAAAAAAAAUGAAGAUGAUAAUAAUCACUAUCCUUUUUUUACUAAUUCAUAUAUUUUUAUAUGAAUGGGUGAAUGGCAAAAAAAUGCACUAACAAAUUCUCGAGAUGAGGUCGAAUUUUAUACUGAUUGGGGCAAAUUUACUAAUAACUAAUUGAGUAGUGCUUUAAUUUUAGGCGAAAUUAUCCAAUUAGUCAUAAAUUUAUUGUGCGGAUGUCUGUGCAGUCAUAAACUUAUCAAUUUUACCAAUUUAGUCUUUAAUCUUUGCACAAAUUUCCAAUAUGGUCAUUCCGAUCAACUUUUGCCGCGAUCCAAUCAUGUAUGGCUAUCCUACAUGGUACACCGUCACAUUAGCAAUUUCCUGUAAAAAUUAGCCGAAAUAACUACAUUGGAAUUUCACAUAAAGAUUUUAAGACUAAAUUGCAAAAUUGAUACAUUUAGGAUUGAUUGGACAAUUUCUCUCCUAUCUAAGGAUUAGUUGUUGUGCUUUGAGCUUGUAUAUCCAAAAAUGAAAACUCAAGUUCAAUAGACAAAUUUCUUGUUUUCCAUCUAGCCAUGCGCCAAAACCAAAAACAUUUUCUGAAGGGGAAGGGAAUGAGUUGUCAUGCUUUAUGAAUGUAUAAGUCUAAUUAGGUACUUUUUGUUUUUGAAAUAUGUAACAGUUCUCACAUAUGUCAAAGGGGCGCCAUAUUUAGUCAGUUGUCAAUACUAUGUAUGUUACAAAAUUUAUUUCAAAAUCUAGAAGAAAAUUAGACUAAUUUCAUAUAGGAAUUUCACAUAAAACAUCAAAAAAUGGGGGCAUACGAGUGAAAAUCGACAUAUUGAAGAUCACGUAAUUGUAGAAGAUUAGAUAUGUUUCCUUUUCCCUAUAAGUGUAGACAAAAUGCAUUGGCCACAAUAACAUGUAGAGUAUACUACCAAAAGGAGGGUGGAUAGUUUUUACAAUCCUCAAUUUUAUUCUAUUUUUUGUAGGAGGAAAAUGAAAACAUUGAGGCACUACGUUUGGACAAAAAGGGCUCUAGACAGUUCAUGAAGCAACAGAGCUUCAAAAAAAUGCCUAACUUGAAGUUCCUUCAUGUGAAGGCUGUGGAUUUUUAUGGAGAUUUCAAAGGAUCGCUUUCUGAAUUAAGAUGGCUAAGGUUGGAGACAUCUCCUAACUCGUUCGAGGCAACCAAUGUUCAUUUGCAGAAAUUGGUCAUGCUUGAUUUAUCAUACAAUAAUAUUGGGGGAUAUAUUGAUGAAAAUUGGAGAGGAUGGAGUUCAAUUAAGGUAAAGAUGGAAAAAGGCUUUCUCUUUUGUUACAUUUGAUGAUAAAUCAUUCUAUUUUCUAAUUGCUAAUAUUGGAACAUGUUUCUUUCUUAUAGAUGGAGAGGCUGAAAGUUCUCGAUCUUUCAGGUUCCUGCCAUUUACGAAGCACUCCUAAUCUCUCCGGGUUUAAAAAUUUAGAGAUGCUAAUCUUGAGACAUUGUCCUUUGAAGGAAAUCGAUCCUUCCAUUGGAGAUGUCAAGCGCCUCGUUUCCUUGAACUUGGGCUAUUGUCGAAGUCUAAAGAAGUUACCUAAACAACUCGGCGAACUAGAAAAUUUGGAGGAACUUGUCGUAGAGUAUACUGGGAUAAAAGAAAUCCUUCCAUGUAUAAGAUCUUCGAAGCGGCUAAAGAAUCUUAGUCCCAAAGAGUGUUCGCAACUUACUGAAGUUCCUGUCUCAAUAACCAGUUGGUCAAGUUUGUCGUUAGGAGAUUACCACAAGUCGCCACCAAUCCCUUCUUCAAUUGGGAAGUUGGGACAGUUGGUUAAGCUGAACUUGUCAUUGACAAAUGUUAAGGAACUGCCCGAAUCCAUUGGGGAAUUGAAAAAAUUGAAAAUUUUGAACAUUGGUUGUAGCUCAAUAGAAAGAUUACCAAGCUCUAUUGGAAAAUUGCAAAGCCUCCAAGAGCUCGAUGCCAACCAGUGCGAUAAACUGGAAGGACAAAUUCUUGUUGAUGAAGGUGGAUUGUCUUCUCUAAAGACCCUUGAUUUAUCUCACACAAAAAUUUCUGGCUUGCCAGAAAACUUAGAUCAGCUUCAUUCUCUCGAGGACCUCAGUUUAUAUGCCUGUCAUGAGCUUGAGUCAUUCCCAAAACCUCCUUUUAGCUUAUUAGCCUUGGAGCUCACCUGUCGGAGCAAUGAGCUGCCAUCGCUCUCUCACCUCAAGCAUCUACAACUUCUCACCCUUCGUGAAUGCAUGUCUCUUCAAAGCAUGCUAUCGCUCUCUCAGCUGAAGCGUCUACAGGAUCUCAAACUUGAGUGUUGCGAGUCUCUUCAAAGCAUCCCAGAGCUUCCCUCCUGCAUACAAACGCUUGAAGUUGUGGGAAGUCCCGAAUUGAAAAGCUUGCCAAAUCUUUCCGAUUUUGAAUUUUUGUCGGAACUAAGGCUUCAGGGUUGCGACAAGCUGAAGAAAUUGGAUGGACUGGAAUGUUUAAAAUCCCUAAGAAGGUUGGACCUAUCAGUAUAUGGUGAAUCGAUGUCUCAUCUCCAUGUGAUAGAAGGCCUUGAAAAAUUAGGAUCUUUGGAAUGGUUGGAUAUCUCUAGUCGCGAGCACAUUCAAGUACUGGACCUUUCAAAGUCAGAGCAUCUAGAGCGGUUGAUUGUUAAGGAUUGCAAAAGCUUAGUUGAAAUUCGCUGCCAUAGUAAAUUCCUAGAGCUCUUUGAUAGGCGUAGGUGCGAGUCACUCAAGAUAUUACCGGACUUUUUACCACAUGACGGGCUAUGGUCGGAUCUUCAUGAGGGCAACGACGACUUCUUGGACUGGGAUAGUUGGUAGUAAGAAGAGGAGGAGGGUAGAAAUCGAGCACAGAGAGAAGGGGGAGAGAUUGAGGUCCACUAUCAUCUGGUGGUUUGUUUCUAUCUUACUUCCGAUGGACGAUGAUGGGAUGACUGAUUUGAAAGUGAGAUUCAUGCUCACAUGCUCCGCUAGCUGAGAAAUGGAAUUCGGCUUCUAACCUCACCCACUCACCGAUUGCUUGAAAUGGAGCAACACAGGAGUUUGAUGAUGGGGUGAUUAUGGAAGCGAGAGAAUGUUGGAGGCGAGGAAUCUGGUGAAGGAUCUUCAUGUUAGGUCUUCAUUGCUUCCGGUUGCCAUAUCUUCAGAGUCCAGGUGAUUGGACCCCUUUUAACAUUAAUCCAUUUUUGUCGCCGAUUGAUCAGUUUAUUCGUUGGUUGAUUCUUGGCGUGAUUGGUGCGUGCACAUUCUGGUGAUUCGAGGUUUUGAGUCGCUAUUGUUGGUCUGAUUUUGGAUGUUCGAUGUCUGCACAUGGAGGAAAUGAAAUGAAACUAAUAUGAGCUUUUCAGCAUGUUCAGUGAAGCAUGUUUAGUUGUCCUGUUAUAUUUAUCAGCUUGUGAUUCCUGUUAGGUGCAGAGAUCUGCUCGAUUAUUCUCUUCUACCAGUUUGCUAUGGUGCAACGAGAUAACUCUAGCAGCUUUUGAUUAGGUUUCGUGUUAAUGGUGGUGAAUUUUCCUUGUGUUAUCUUAGCAGUUGCAGAGCAUGUAUAGCAGGAUUAUCAGGACUUAUGAGCCUAUUACAGGUUUAGGUUGAUUUUAUCACCCUGUCUAGGUAGCCUAGAAAGCGAUUGCAGAGUUGUCGGAACUAAUGUGAAUUAACUUCAAGUUGAAUGGGAAGAUUACCUUGAUUGAUGAGGUUCUACUUUCCUAGCCAUUUCUUUCUUGUUCUCGGAUCUUGAAGCACCUUGAGGGGUGAUGAGAAGUGGAAAGAUGAAUAGUCUCCUAUGAACCAUUUGUUUGUACCUAUGAUCCAAAGUAGGAUUUUCUUCAUGAGCCUGUGGAAAUUCCUUCUCAUAAGAUUCUCCGAGGAUGUCCUUACUCAUCUGAGUUAGCUAAUAACAAUUGAAAUGGUGUUGAAUGCUACUAAUUUCACACGGAAAAUGAUACUAGUGGUUUGAAUUGUUGUGAUGGUGAUAUGGCUUGUUCAUUUUGUCCUUACUUUUUCUUUGCUAGCUUUCUAGUUGAAUGGAAUUGCUCCUUAUCUCCUUCCGACUGUGGGAAAAUGCAAAAACUUGACCUGUGAUAAUAGAAGUCCAUUGGUUUCUUCUUUGACCAGGAUUUAUCGGGCUCUGACAUUGUGGUGUGUUUGGAAGAACUUUUGCUUUUAACUUCCGUCUAUUGUUUUUAGCAUUUGCAAUGUGUGUUCUGUUCAAUACUCAGUGCUUCAAACCUUCAGAAAACAUAAAACUUUGCAUUUUUUGGCCUAUUAUAGCAAAAUAAUUCUUGUCUUGUUGACAAGGUCAGGAAGUACCUUUUGAUUUCUAAUGUUGAAACGGAAACACCAUUAAAUUUGUCUCUAUUUCCAUGGUUGGUUUUCAUUCUGUCAUCCUUUGUAUGGAUCCUCUACAAUGUGAUGGUCUUGCUUUUUGAAGGUUACAAACUCUAUGCUAGUCGAUUGUUGCCCGCACCGAUGUGAAAUUCAGAGUACAGAGCUAAUUGAAUCUGAUUGUUACCUGAAGAUUUCAGUUCACAAAAAGGUGUUGAAGAAUGACGUUGAGUCAUGCUUGAGAAAUAUCUGGUUGUCGGCUGGUUCAAUUAUGAAUUUGAGGAUUGCGUCUCCAGUGGGGUUGGGUUAUGUUUGAUGCCGGGUGGAGACUGCUUUGGCCAACUUAUUGUCUGUUCCUUAGCUUUUCAAUGUUUUUCUUUUCUCAUGCUGGGCAAGAAGGUUGGUCCACAAAUGAGUCGUGCCCUCUAUUGCUGGUGCUGCAUUGUUCCGUGGUGGAGUCUCUCGCCGAUUUGCCUGCAAAAACUCCAUCUGUGUUGUUUGGGAAGCUUGAUUGUGGAAUGGUAAGGAAGAAGAUCAAUCUCUGGAGCUUAGUUUGGAGGCUUUAGACGUUGCCACCAUAAAAUAAGCAACAUUUGUUUUGUCCAAUUUCAUUAGUGCAGAUAAUUAUGUGUCACUGUUCAAAUCCGCUUUUGCUGAACAAGUGUAGUCUAUAUUUACAUUAAUACAUAAAAUGUUGUUUGGGGUGUUCAUCUGCAAGUUUAAAAGUUGAAGCACGCCGGUUGGUAGCUGAUUACCAAUUUGGUGUUAGUUUUUGUCCCUAGUAGUUUGGUGCAAUAUGUUGUGAUUGACUUAUCGUGAUGAAGUUACUGUAAUACUUGGCAUUUGACCAACUAAAAAGGAAAUUCUGGGGCCUUGAAAAAAAGAAAAAAAAAACAAAAGAGAAGGUUGAAAAAUCAACUAAACAAGGGAAGUGGACGUCGGCUAAAGGGAAGAAAAAUAAGACACUCGGCUCCCUCUUAAACUGAGAGCUCAUUUAGAAGGAAAAUGGAGAGGAGAGAGAAAAAGAUUUGAUUCUGGAGAUCACUAACAUCUCCUACUAAACAAAAAAUAUAGCAGGUAUGGUGUGGAGAUUUCCUACUUUCAGUAGUAUUUUCAGUUUGGACAGGGCUUUUCUUUGACACGUUAUUUUUUUGCCUGUCUUAAUUCUAGCAACUGGAGGAAGUUAUUUGAGCAAAGUAAGUGUGAUGUUUUAGUAUUAUCUGGCUCGUGAUCAUGACAUGAAUAAAAAAGAUCCCAAAAGGAUAUUUGAUGUCUUCAAUCAUAUAGUACGAGAUUCUUCAUUCUGACGUGGUAUCAAUCUGCGCUUGUGUAAUGAAGUAAUACUCUUCUCCAACUUCUAUGAGUAGAGAAAUCACUAUCCAAUGGAUUUGGAAACUGCUCAUGCAUUUUGGAUCUGAUUGCAUUUUAUUAACUCGUUAUCUGGUCAAGGAAGUAGGCAGUGAAGGUACCAUAAACGUGCUCUGCAUUUCCUCAAAGCCAGAGCACUAAUGUCAAGAUAAUGAAUCUCCAUGGAUAUAUGUCAAACUUUGUUUGUCACUUAAUAUGCCAAUAUGAAGGUUGCUCUCUUUGAAGGCAGAUAUAUGGCCUUGAUCAAGCUGAAAGUAUUAUCAUUAACAGUGGAAACCCAGUGCAAAUCAUGUUGCUGCUCUUUCCUUGUAUUACUUCAUGCCUUUAUUAAUCAUCUUGCAAAUUCGUACCUUAACAUCAUUUGCAAUUUAUUACUUCAAUUCGGUCAUCGUUUGGUAAUGACAAUGUCUGCACCCCUAGAGGCUUUAGAAGAACAGAGGAUUUCCACUGUAUUAUCGAUAACAGUGUGAGAUCCAAACCAGAAGUAUGGAGGAAGUCCUUAAAUCAACCGUAUUGCUUUCAUGUUUUUGGGAUAAACAUGACUAGUAAUCAGAGAGCUGAUCUAGAUCUCUUAAUGCCAUCUUUUCUUGAACUGCAGCUCAAAUCAGAAUGUUUUUUUAUAGCUGCCACUAAAUAGAAUUGGAAAGCCACUUCUCCAAUAACUGUGGUUUCAGCCAUAAAUGUGCACCAUUUUUGGUUAGGCUGAUGGGAGGGACAAAAAAUCUUUUCAGAGCUUGGGUAUUACCCAGCUGUUUAUGGCACUGAAAUGAAGUGGGAGGAGCUGUGCAUAUGAUUUUUAAUUCUAUGGAGGCUUAAUCAGUACUACAUCAGAAGUAAGGACUUCCAACUGUAACUGUAAUCUUGACAUUGGAAUAGCUUAUUGGCAAUAUUAGGAGUGCAAAUUGACUUGGCAGAUACAAGUCAUUUCUUUUAUUAUUAUUUUCACAAUAGUUUGAUGCAUGUCUUUGAAUCCUGAUGAGAGAAAUCAUGUUCUUUCAUUAUCAUUCACUCAAAUAGAAUACCAGAAUGAUGGAGAACACAUAUGCCUCAUAUAGAAUUAUGAAGACUAUUUGCAUGACAGCAGCACGACAGAGAUCAGGUUGUGGAGAUCAUCUGUGUUUCCUAGUAAUUGUAAAUAUAGCAGGUAAAGUAUCAUAUUUAGUUAAAGAGUACUUACUUCACAUUAGUAAUUUCAGUUUGGCAUGGGGUUGUGUCGAUGUCUUAUUGUUUUCUGUCUUAUUUCAAGUAAUCUCAGGGAAAUUGGUCGACUAAGUGAAUGUAAUGCUCUGGCAUCAUCUGGCUUGUGAUCCUGGUGGGAAUGAAAAUAGAUAAGAAUGCCUUCAAAGUACAUUGCAUGUCAUUAUACGUCAUCAGUCACAAAGAAAGACUUUUCAUCCUUGACAUGACAUGAAUAUGUUCUUAUGCGAACAGAGAGUGUUACCUUUUUCCAAGUUCUAUUAAGAUCGUUUCCUAGAACAGAGGAUGUUUAUUAUGUGUUUUUUCAUUUUUUUUUUCAAUUCACUUACGCAUAAUAAAAAAAGAACUUCAUUACUUGUUAGCAAAUGAUCCACCCAAAAGCUUAAAGCACUAGUUAGAGGUAGACUCAAUGUAUAUAACCCCUGUUGAAACCCUUUAUUUAACCAAUGUGGAAUAACACUUCUAAUAAUUGAUUGAUUUUGGGAACUACUCAUGUCUAUGUAGUCUUGAUUGCAUUUUUAUUAGCUUAUGUCCGCUUAUUCUGUCAUGGAUUAAUAAGCUACUGGAGGCACUAUCUUAACAUUUUUACUUUUCUCAAAUCCAGAACACCAAUGUUGAGAUGACUUAUUUCCAUGGAUCUAUAUGCAACUUUGUUUGUCAGUUGAGAUGCUAAUACAUAGAUUGCUCAAUCUGAUGAUGGAUUCAAGCUCUUGAUCCUGUCAGAAGUAACAUCCUGUACGGUGGAAAAUCUGGUAGGAAUCAUGUUGUGCUCUUUCUUGUUUGUAGUCAUGCCUAUAUGCAUCUCACAUGUUCGUAUCAUCAGUUAGUGUCUUUACAUAUCAAAUUUGCAUCCUUCUGUUCGUUCUUUUUUUUGGUGAUGACAAUUUCUCAUGCCCUCGAUGCUUUAAAUGACCAAGAGCUUCACUGUAAUUUUGGCAAUGAUGUGAGAUCCGAACCAAAUAUCUGGGAUAUGGAUGUAACAAGGACAUUCUUUAAGCCGAUUGCAUUGCGUUGUGCUUUAUGAACGGGAGCUGUCCGUCAUAUAAUGAAAACAGGUGCUUUACUUCACUCCUGAAAUGUUUGAGAGCUGAUCUGACUCCAUAAAUGUCCAUUUUUUCUUGAACUAUUACUUAAUCCGAUCAGAAUACUUUGUUACAGAUGCCACCGUAGCAGAAUAGAAUUGGAAGUUCAACCUACUAAAUAUGAGAGCACCGCGGAAAUGGCCAACUACGAUCCCAGCGAGUGUGUUUGCCUUCUUCACUCCAAACCCUACAGUCUAUCCCUGCAGUCUAUUCAAUAAGGUACUAAACUAUCUCAAUUAUACUUGCUACUAAUAACAUUUUCUCGCUAGGGGUCUCAUCAAAUUAACCAGAAGAUUAUUCAUACCAUUUUCCAGAGUAGAGCAAAGGAGAGCUUCUAGGUUCCUAGCUUGCCAAAACUUGUCGAAUGGACGCACAUGGCAUGCCAAACAAAAAGCUACUGCCAAAGGCUAGCUUGCCCAACCUUCUUGGAAGAUAAAUAGGCACUCAUCACGAAUGCUUCUGUGAAGUAAUCACACACAUCUACACAGAGAGUGUUAAAAUGGCUGAUAAAAUGGUUGAUCAGUUCAGGGCAAUGGACUUGAACAAUAAAAUAGAAUGGUAUCCUGUGAUUUCGCCUGAAUGGCUAGGUUAUGUUGCGAUAGUCGAGUCGAGAUAUCACAUGAUAUAUACCGUGUCACAGUCUUUUAGCUUCGGAGUUCUGGUGGAAACAUAUGGUCCCGAUUGGGGAUUGGUGAGGGAACUUAGCAUCUACGUUGGGCAUGCGAUUCACUACUCCAAAUCAAUUUUGGCAUUUUUCUCUCUCUUUUCGAUGUUGGUCGAGUUACCUAGUACAUCUAGAUAACGGUAAAACCUUGGAGAUACAAUCUUACGACUUAUUUCAAUUUGCACAUACAUUGCUGCAUUGCAAGAGGUAACUAUAAAUUGUUUGAUUCUCGACAUCUGGAUUGAAAUGUAAUCUCACCUAACUAGAGGAGAAAAGAAGUACAACCCAUCACCAGAGACUGGUUCGUUUAGUUAAUAAAACUCAUGCUUGGACUGCUUAAAUUAUAUCAUUACGCAUCAAGACUAAUAUUAUAAAUCUAAGACGAAUAUUUACAACACGGUCGAAACAUGAUACUCGCCAUUAUUCAUUUUGAAGGGGAGCUACGCUUCUAUGAGUUGGACAGGUGUUGUUCCAUGGGAAGUCCGAAUAUCAGGAGCUUCUUGUUUUCCAAGUGACUUCUUACCUUUCAUGAUCGCUCUCCAAUUUUACACCAGAAGUACUAUGACAAAGCAAUGGCUACGCUAUUAGUAUUUAGGAUACAAGUAUUUAGGAUACAGAUGAUCCUGAUGAAUCGUGAAGAUCGAUGAGCUUACACAAACUCUGCAUAUAUACUACCACCUCAAAUAAGAUUUUCUUGGGGGAGAUUGUUUUUGCAAAUGAUUAACUUAGGAGAAAGUCUACAGUGUUAGAUAUAACAAAGUUUAUUUUCCAAAAUCAGUAAACAGAUCUCGUUAAACAUUAGAUUAACUUCGGUCUGAUACUUCCCCUGCCCAAGAAACUAUUUCAACAAGCAAUUAGUCGAGUUGACAGCAUCUUGGAUGGUAUUCUUACUCACGACGAGCAGACAGAUAUCUUGUGGCUCCUUUGAUAUAUUCGUUUGUUCAUAGUCAGCGGAGCAUGGCAGAGUGGCAACUCUGGAUAGUCAAAUCCAACUGAUGUAGAAGGAUGAGUUUGUUUACCAAGAGAUGCUCACGCAUCUUCCCCUCUGUUCAAUCCCCAACCCGAAGAAGGUGGUCUCUCUCUCUUUAUUUCUUUCCAACUUCUUUCAUCUUUGAAGUUUUGAUGCUGUGAAAGUACUCACUUGAUAUUUUUACAGGUGCUGCUCGUUGGUGGGGGAGAUGGAGGUAUUCUGAGAGAAAUAUCUCGUCACACGUUUGUGGAACAAAUUGAUAUAUAUGAACUCGACCAAAUGGUGAUUGAUGUAAGCAAAAUUAAACUAUGAAAACCUUCCACAGUUUCAAGCUUGAGCAAUUGGGUUCAGGAGGACCAUAGCAGUUAUUUAUAUACUUCUUGUGUCCUGUUGCAGGUUUACAAGCAAUUCUUCCCUGAAAUAGCAAUUGGGUAUGAGGAUCUGCGAGUGAAUGUGAACAUUAACCAGGGUAUAUUCAAUAGUUGUUACACAUUGAUGAAUAUAAAUAAGUUGCAAGAGAUUAUUUAAUUUAACUUACUUUAAUUUCAACAUCGCAGGAGUUGCUUUCCUGAAGGCGGUUCCUGAAGGAACUUAUGAUGUGAUCAUUUUGGAUGCAUUUGAGUGUAUGGGUAUUGUCGAGUGCUUAUAACCUCCCCCACCUCUUUGAAAUUUAGUAUGCCUCCGAUUAAUUGAAUAACUAAGCAGAAUAACAGAAAUCUCAUAGGGUGGUAGGUCAUACAUCUACUUAUUUCAAGUAAUUCGAAACAUUCAGACACCUCCAAGAAAAGGAGUACUUGCUAAUCAUGCGUAAAAAAAUUCAGGAGCUACUGCAAUUGAACUAGCGAAUAAAGAGUUCUUGGAAUCGGUGGCUCGGCCGCUCCAUCCUAGAGGUGUCAUGUCCGCUCCAGCAGACAGCUUUUGGCUGGACAACUUCAUAGUGGAAGACACUAUUGCUGAAUGUCGCCAAAUCUUAAAGGGCUCAGCGAGAUAUGCUUGGAGUACAAUUCCUUCCUUCUCCUGUUUUUCAAGUUUACGAUGGGGAGAAUGAAUUUUCGACUUUCUUUACCAUUAGAGGGACGAUUGAAUUUGUGCUCUGCUCCACUGUUGGGCUGGCAGUUGACUUCGAGAAACCUAUCAAUCCUCUAGAUACCAAGAACAAUGGGGUGGCUAAAGGGCCUCCUAAGUUCUACAACUCUCAGGUAAAAAGGAUAAAAGAUGUUACACGUAUGUGAACUGGAAAUUUGAUGUCUUGUUAAUGCAAACCUCUUUGCCUCCUGAUGUGCCAGAUCCAUACUACUGCUUUCUGUCUGUCAUCUUUUGCAAAGAAGGUAGGCAGUGCCAAAUUCUAAUAAACAGAUGUUUCUCGCAUAUGGCCUAUAAAAGAUGGAGAAACAACAUCCUUAUUUGUGUUCUUCUGUCUUCAUUUUUUUUUUUUUUUCUGUUGUCCAUUGUUUGUCGAUCAUCGACUGUAAUACCCAAUGUGGCCAUAUCAAAUUACAAAUAAGCAUCACAUGGCUGCCCGUCAAUCGCUGAGAGGCAGUAGGCUAUCAUUUUACUUGAUAAGAGGUCGAUCUCUGUCCUGCUCUAAGUUACUGAGUCCAUUUGCCCAGGAUCCUCUCAUACAUGCACGAAGAGACUUGACACAUCACAUUGCAGCCAAGACAGCUCCUUUAAGUAGUGUAGCACAUGCCAAAAAUCGAUGUGGCCUCAUAGUAGUGAGAUCAAAUAGGUAUAUAUAAUCAUUGAGCAUUAGCUGCAUGGUCUGUUCCACUAGUUUGUGCAUAGCUAGUCCAUAUACAAAUCUCUGAAUCAUCCCAACAUCAGUGAUGCAACUUUGAAUUAACUCCAUAAUCUCUGAGGUCUAACUUCCAUUGGAAGUAUGAAGAUUUAGCUAGUGUUCAAAAGGCCUAAAGUUCCUUUCAGAAAGGAAGUAUUUCUUUGUCAGAACUCAAUUUGAUGCUUACCCUAGAACAAUUAAGCUUAUAAAAUAAACCCUGGCCAAGAAAAACCGAUUUUUACUAGCUUUUUAAUUAAUCUGAGAAACAGUUUAUGCAUUUAAUUAGCCACUCUUGUAGUAGUCAAGGAAAUGUUCUUGAAAUAUGUAUCCAACCGAUCGGUGUAUUUUACUCAGACUUCUAGUUAUGGCUUUGUUUUUCUGAGUUUUAAAAAGACUAAAAAUUGUUUUGAGUUCUAUAAAUUUGUAAGGGAAUUAUAAAUCAUUUCAUUUGUCAACAUUUGAAAUUUCGCAAAGGUUUUCGGGUAUUUCGCUAUAAAUACAGAUCGACCAAUCAUGGUCCCUAAAUUUGACGAAGGAAAAGGUCCAAAGUCAGACGAGACCUAAAGCCAUGAAAACUUCAGUAGUACGAAGGUUAUUAGAACUGCAGAAAUUAUUUGAUUUGUGAACAAAAUUUCUUGCAUUCAUAUAUGGAGGCAUGGAAAAUUGCACGUUAUUUUUCUUUGUGAUUAGAUUUGUCUGACUUUCCAGUCAGCUUCGCAUAAUGUGACAGCAUUGAUAAGGAAAGCGCGGGGCAAGACAUUUUAUAAUUCAUCAGAUUGCAGAAACUUGAAGAGUCUAUGAAAAUGAUAUAAGUACCAAUCAUGUAUUUAUUUACCGAAGAUAUAUUUAUAUGAUAAGGUCCCCACUCAAUGAACAGGAAAUUAGACGGCCAAUGUAGAAAAUAAGUUGGGAACGCGUUGACUUGACGAGAAUUUCUUUGGUGCAAAUGACAAGCCAAUUCGGAUUUUUCGUAAAUCUUUCCCAUGGCCAUUCCCAAGAGUCAAAGUGCAUCGAUUGCAAGAAGAAAUUGAAAGAAAAUUUGAAAUUUCAGUUUAGCGAUUGAAACUACAGCUCAAUGAUUGCAUUGCAAACACCUCUUUAUGUUUAGUGAGGACCGGUGGAAUUUAUCUUUUAUUUGGGCUCCGUUUUUUCUGUAAAAAAUGAAUGAUUUGAAAAAUAUUUUCCUAAAAAUGAUCACUUGAAAUAAUUAGUCAAUGAAAAAUAUUUUUAUUAUUGAUAAUAAUAUAUAUAAAUAUUUUCGUAGAAGAUGAAAAUAUUUUUCGUUCAUUGAUUUUUGUAAGUGAUACAAGCUAUCAUUUUUAGAAAAGUAUUUUUCAAAUCAUUCAUUUUACACGAAACGAACGAAGGUUUUGUAAGGGACUAGCUUGACUUUGUCAAUUGAUGUUUUGAGAAGUGGGGAGACAAAAACAUUGGGCUGAUGGGGUCCAAGAUUCCCAAGAACAAGCAGACUUAACGAAAGAGUUAUUUUUGCAGCGUAGUUCAUUGAACGAGAAAGCAAACAAUAAUAGUAUUAGUACCCUCUUGGGAAGAGUUAUUCUCCUUCAUUCAUUAUAAAUAAAUCACACAAACUUCUCUUUUCAAACGCACCCCUCUUUUCCUCGCCGUUGUGCAUUUACGUUGUGGUUUUCUCACCAAAAAAAUGCCAAGAAGGAGCACUUAUGCAGAUCACUCCCACAACCCCCGAGCCGAGGAAGAAGAAGAAGAUUACUAUGAAGUGUUCCCGAGCUUCUGUGAUGGAGAGACUUGCGCCGGCUGAACCGACUGCCUCUAUAGGAGCCUGGUCGAAGCGGGAGUCUGUGUUUACAGAGACAACAAUGAGCUUCACACAAGUAAGGUGUUUGGCCCGGAACUUCUUAGUGUGAUUAUAUAAUCUGGGAUAUUGAUCCCAAUUCUCUUAGAAAACUAUAGCUCCAGAGAAUGGUGCCUCCACGAGCUCACACAGAUGAUGGAUGGACUACAAGAGAAACAAUGGAAGGUAUAUGAUGUUGCCUGUAUUUUAUGGGGUGAAGCAAGUGCACGUGCGGCACCAGGCAGGGAUUUUCAGGGAGAGGUUUCGAUCCGGUACGGGGUGGCUCAAUGAACGGGUUGCGGAGAAAUGGAAGCAGGCGUUUGGAGAAGUCGGUUCCAUAUUUGGAUAUGAAUCCGGGAGAGGGUACAUCUUGUUUCUAAACUUACCUCGUUUACCUUUUUUUCUAUUCACAAUAUCAUUUGUUUUUUUUUUUUUUGGCCAAAAUGAUACCUUGUUCACUUCCAUCAACGAUUUUGGCUUCGUUUAUUUCUCAAAAUCAAUAAUUUAGAAAAAAACAAAUCGUAAAAAAAGUAUCUUCAUUUUUAUUGGAAAAAACAAAAACUUUCAUUUUCAUUAUCAUAUUCGUUGACAAAAAUGAAAGAUCAUCUCCCCGCGUUCUUUUCAUGCUUCUCUGUGCCUUGUCACCCAACGAGCCUCACGUGCAUUUUUCACUUGGUUUUUGUUCCCUGUUUAUCACACAAGUAAGAAUGAUUACAUCAUUUACAUGAAGGCGACCCGAUACAUAGUCUGGUUUCCUAUACCCAGAUUUCCCGAAACAUCGAGAUUCAUGAAAGAUGUACAAAAUUAUUUCUUUUUAAGUUUAAAUGAGUAUUCAGUGGCUUAAGUAGUGAGGAUAUUGUUGAUUAAUCAACACUUAUGCCCUCAGCAACCCAUUCUUUUUCUUUUUCUUUUUCUUUUUAAAAUUUUCCAUAGAGAUAUUACAAAUGCCACAAAAACCCCCUAAUUUUUUUUAUCACAAAAAACUCUAAAUUGAUAUACUUUUGACAAAUUUACCUCAAACUAAUUUUUUGACAAAUUUACCCUAUGUUUGUGACUAAACAUGGGAUAAAUUUAUCACAAAUACAUCAGUUUGAAGUUUUUUAUGGUCAAAAAAUUAGUAUAGGGUAAAUUUGUCGUAUGUGUACUAUUAGAGUUUUUCAUGGUAUUAACUUAUUUUACAGCAAGGUUAUACUUCACUUACUCGACUUCGUUGUUCUUUGAGACGCAGGAAACAGAAUUGUUCAAGAAGGUAGUUAAGCAGGUUUGUGGCGCAUUAGUGGAAGCCCAUCAUCUCAUCGUUUCCAUGGACACAAAGGUGAGAGCGAGAUUGGAAGAGGAUUAUCGCCGUGAGUCGAUGCGCCUCGCGAAAGAAAAUCAUUGUGCGGAGGAGAGGGAAAAGUUACAUUGCGACUUUCAGGACAGUCUAAAGCGGACGCCGGUGCUGAGGAGCAUGCGGAGCAAUGGGAAAAUGGUCAGGAAUAAGAUACACAUAGCUUUGCAUGAGUACCCGCAGCCUUGGAAUUUAUAUUCCAUGACUCAUGACAGGAUGGAGCAAUUAAGUUCGUAAUGUAUUAUCUUGGAGGUUACCUCAGUUCAAACCCUAGUGACAUCAAAUUUAGUUGCUUUACCAUUCUUUUUCUGGACCAGUUUCUUCUAUGUUUUGGUUGGGUCAAGUUUACAGCUCGUUGUUCAAAUUUCGAUUUACUUCCUAUUUUGUUCCUGCUGAAUUUAUCUGAGUGUUGUAGUUGCACUAGCAUGUGAAUACACAGUAUAUAUUUGUUGUGAAUUGAUCAAUUUGAACGUGUAGGUAAGCUACAACCUCUUUCGACUCAUGAGUAUAAAUUGGAGCACAUUAUCAUUGGCUCCAUGUUGAGUCCUCAAAUACACUUUAGCCGCAAGAGUUCAAGUCAGAUGACAGUCGAUAAACUUACCAAAAAACAUGCUCAAUUUCUAGAUGAUCUUAUUCCAUUACUUAUGGUAUAGACAAGCCAAUCUCUAAAUUGACAGCAUGGAGUUUUGCAUUCACAUAGAGAUUAGAAAUUUGUUAUUAGAUUGGAGAUAGUUUUUUUUUUUUUUUUGAGUCAGAAAGAAACGACUGUCAUUGCUAUCCAAAGGAUGGAUUAUAAGAGUUUCCAAGAUCACAACAUAAAAUUCACCAUAGGAAAUGGGGAGGUUCAGCAAGCCUAGUAGGCCAAAGGGUUUCGGUUUUAUGGGCCUUGGUGACUCGGGACAGUUUACAAGGGUUUCCAAGGAUUUCUUUUACAACUCUUUCAUCGAAGAUCUCAUUUAGUUUUUGGAUCUUCCAUACGCCUAAGUCCAGGGAAAAGCUUUUAAAGACUACCUUGAAGUUUAGUGUUGUGUUCUAUCUACUUGUUAAGAUGAUGUAUUUUAGGGACAAAUGCUUCUAAUUACACCGUCAUGCAAGCAUUGAGAUGGCACCAUGUGAAGCAUUGUGAUGAAGGAAGUGUGUAUCACCGAUACGCUGGAAAAAUGAGAGAAAGGAAUCUAAGUUAGAAAAAUGAUAAUCUAACGGUGUUGUUAUUUACAAGGAAAGUGACAGUGCAUUCACCAUUGCACAUAUUGCAAGAGAAACCAAUCAACUUGCUUCACUGGUUUCUCUUUACUUAUUCAUUGUCUGUCAUCCGCAGGGCACUGACAUCAAGAUAUGCAGAGAGAAAGAGGGAGAUUCUUUGUGUUCCCGGUUGCCAAUUGCAUGUCAAUGGCACUUUGUGGUAAAAAAGGUACCAUUAUUCCUUACCGUUAGCAUAGCAGCUCUCUCCAAGUUAAUCAAGGAGCAUCCAAAGACGGAUUGGAGCAGAUGAAAGGGUCAUUUGACGGUAGAAAUGCGAAUGAGAAUUUCAAUCGGGCUACAAUGAUUUCGAUUCAACUGUUCAGCCUGUCAAUUGUCCUAUUCAACAUAUGGAGACUUCAAUUCAACAUCAUAAAUUAGAUAUUGUUUCAUAGUCUUCUUUCUCAUGCCACAAUUGUGAAUUCAUUCGAUUUCUUCAAGGUUCUUCCAACUGAAAGUUAGGAUUGUAGGGUUGAUGGUGAAAAUAUCCCAAGUUGAGAUACAAAGCAUAGUGAACAAUUGUGCAAUGAAACCCGUUAUAUGUAAUUGCUAUGUAGUGCUCAUCAUUAAUAGAAACUCCUCAUAUUUUCAAGUACCUACCAUUUAUAGAAGACGUGAUUUUGCCAUGAUAAAGAAAAAUAUGAAUUAAGGAUGCAAUUUAAUAACUCAUUAAAAAUUUUUUGGCAACUCUUAUGUUUCUCAUCUUAUGAAACCGUCGUUAGCAAGUAUGGCUCCAAUUUGGCCCUGGCCCCCGUUGCAUUAAUUUCCCUAAAUUAUCUCUAGCUGCCAUUUGAAGGACAAAAUUCAAUCUCUAAUCAUAAUAUGGAAAGAUUAUGCUGAGUCAGCACGGACAGAUCGACACUUUUGGCGCAUAUUUGUGUUCUCGUACAAGGUUCAAAAGCAAAUUACGAUUUCCAUCCUCGUACCUUCGGGAGUUUUCAAAUUCAGUUCAGUUCAGUCCAGUUCUGUCCAGUAGAUUAAAAGAUCCCUCCACGUCACUAGGACUGAAGAACAGCCGGCGAAAUUCAGCACAGCCGAGGUCGCUCGCCGGGAGAAGUCCGAGCCGAGUCUCCCGUUUCUUUUUCCCAGAUUCGAAGGAAGCGGAGCCAGAAUGGGAAUAGGUAUGGCAAUGCGUAAUCCUUUGGCCGUCGCCAUCGCAUCCAUCUUGGUCGCCGUGCUCGCACCCCGUUUCCUGAAGAAGAAGGAGAAGGAAACGAUCGGGAGCACCAAACCCGACGGACCCAUUUCGGUGGAAUCCGCUCCGUCUACCUCCGGGAACGACUACGAUGUGUUCUUGAGCUUCAGGGGCAGGGACACCCGCACCGGCUUCACCGACCAGCUCCACAGCAGCCUCGUCCACGCCGGGGUCUCCGUGUUCAGGGACGACGACGAGCUCCGCGUCGGCGAGAAGAUCGGCUCGGAUCUUCUCUGAGCCAUUAGGAGCAGUAAGAUCUCCAUCCCGAUUCUCUCUCCGGAUUACGCUUCCAGCAAAUAGGGUCUUCGCGAGCUCGCCCGGAUGAUCGAGUGCAAGAGAAGUGAAGAGCACAUCGUCUUGCCGAUCUUCUACAAAGUCGAGCCCGGGCAUGUGCGACACCAGACGGGGAGUUUCGGGAAGGCCUUUCGUAAAAUUAAGAAGCAUUAUGAGGCAGAGGUGGUCCAACGAUGGGAUCGAGCCCUCCAAGAAGUAGGAAGCUUAAAGGGAUGGGAAUCAGAGAGAAUUGCUAACGGGUACUUCUUCUUUCACUCGUGAUCCUGCUUAGCUAGAUCAAAAGUCCGAAAAUUUUAUGCCGCGAUCACUUUUGCAGUGGAAAAAAAUGAUGGGUUUUUAUCAAUUGGCUGCUUUUUGCUUCCUGUUUAUAUGUGGAUUUGCUUCCGCGGAGAUAUUGAUGAUCGGUUUCUUGUAUUGGACUUUGCUGUUAUUUCACAGACAUGAAGCUGAGUUGGUAAAGAUAAUUGUCAGGAAGGUUUUGGGCGAGUUAAAGGAAGCUUUUCAGUUAGACGUCACAGAGAACUUGGUCGGGAUUAGUAAUCACGUAGAGGAGAUUAUGAGAAUGUUAAAAACUGAUGACACUGAUACUCAAUUUGUUGGAAUCCACGGAAUGGACGGUGUUGGUAAGACGACUCUGGCCAAGUUCAUCUACAAUAAACUCUCCUGUCAGUUCGAUCACUGUAGCUUCUUGGCAGAUGUGCGAGAAACAGCAAAAGACAGGGUGCCCACCAUUUGCAGAACCAACUAAUCUCCCAUAUUCUAAAAGGAAAACACAAUGACAUCUCCAAUGUCGAUGAAGGACUUAGAAUCAUCAAAACUAGAUUUAGGCAUAAGAAAGUCCUCAUCCUUCUCGAUGAUGUGGAUGAUGUUUUUCAGUUGAACUGUUUGGCUGGAAAAUGUGACUGGUUUGGUUCCGGAAGUAAGAUCAUUAUUAUGGCAAGAAAAGUGAGUUUUCUUGAUGAGGCUCGGGUGGAUAACUCGUAUGCACUCAAUGGAUUGGAUCCUGACAACUCUUUGCUUCUUUUUAGUAGACAUGCAUUCAGAAGGGACUUCCCUUUGCCUGAAUUUGGGGAUCUCUCGCGUGAAAUUGUGUCCACUACGGGAGGGCUUCCUUUAGCACUCGAGGUUAUAGGAUCGUUCUUUUGCGGAAAACACCUAGUAGUAUGGAAAGAUACAUUAAGGAAGUUACGGCAAAUACCAGAUAAGGAAGUGCAAGAGAAGUUAAGGGUAAGUUAUGAAGCAUUAGAUUAUGAGCAAAAACAGAUAUUUUUGGAUAUUGCCUGUUUUUUCACUGGAACUGAUGGAAGAAUUGCAUCCUAUAUGUGGGAUGACUGUGAAUUUUUCCCAGGGAUGGGUAUUGAAGCAUUGAGUGUGAUGUCCUUGAUAAAAGUGGGAAAUGACCAUAGGCUGUUAAUGCAUGACCAACUGAGAGAUCUAGGUAGGGAAAUCGUCCGGCAGGAAAACUAUGAGGAGCCCAGGAAACGUAGUCGCGUAUGGAUUCACAAGGAAGCCUUACAUGUUCUAGAGAAAAAAAAAAAGGUGAGAGUUUUCUUUGAUUUACUUUUGUGCACUUAGUCAAUGUUUAUAAUCUACCAUAAGAGGAAAAAGAAGUUAGUAAAUUGAAUUAGUCCAGCCCUAGUUAAAAGAAGGCCUGUUCGUAAUAUUUUCAACAUUGUGUUACUCAUUGCAUAAUGCAAGUUUGUAAUUCAUGGGAGUAAUAUCCUUAGAGGGUGCUCUUCUGUGAUAAUCAAAGGUUCUCAGCUAACUUAUGGAGUUUAACUCAUUUUAAAGGACAUGUUAGCAAACUUAAUUGUAGCAGUGUUGAGCAUUUUAUAUAUUAGCUUCUGGUGGAUUGUGUAAGAUAAAUUUGUUGAAAGAUACUAUCCAAUGAGUUUAGCUGCAACCAUGUGAGCAUAGAAAUUAUUAUGAAACAACAUAUCAUAGUUUUGUUUUCAUGAUGCUUUAUUUCUGAUCCAUGGAAUUCUUACUUUCAGGGAACUAGAAAGAUAAAAGCCCUCCGUCUCAAUAAAAGUGGCUUAGGCAGGGUGUACAGCAAUGUACUGUUUGAAAAGCUACUGAACUUAAGGUUCCUUGAGAUGAAUAAUUUCAUCCUCUCUGGAGAUUUUGAGUAUGUUCUUUCUGAACUAUGGUGGCUUUAUUGGAAAAAUUGUCCAUCAAAUUUGGUAGCAACCAACUUUCACGUGAAGAAAUUAGUCAUACUUGACUUAUCAAGGAGCAAAGUCACAGAGCAUUGGGAAGGAUGGAAACUUAUGGAUGUAAGAUGAAAAGAGUAGAUUUUCCUUUCAAAAUAUGAUCAAUAAUUCUUAGUGGUUCUUAGUGGCUCAUGUUUCCGUGCUUUCUUUCUUUCAGGUGGCAAGUAAUCUGAAAGUUCUCAACAUUGCUAAUUGCCGUGACUUGAAAACAUCUCCUGAUCUCGCAGCUUUUCAAAAUCUGGAGAUUUUAAAUCUUGGAAAAUGUGAAAAUCUAACAAAAUUGCACCCUUCUAUUGGAAGCAUCAGCAUUCUGAUUUCCUUGGAUGUGAGAGACUGUUUCAGACUGAAGGAACUUCCAAUAGAAGUGGGCCAGCUACAAUAAUUAGAGGAGCUUUUUUAUGGAUAGAACUCGGAUGGAAGAAAUUCCCGUAUCGAAAGUUUCAAUGAAGAAGCUCAGGACUCUUAGUGCCCAGUAUUGUGAAUCAUUGGCUCGAAUACCCAGCUCGUUAAGCCAUCUAAAAUCUCUGUCAACCCUUGAUUUUAUGGGAUGCAAAAAGCUUGCUGAACUUCCAGAUGCCCUAGGGUGCCUUCAGAAACUGCAGCGCUUAUCAUUAAAAGAAUGUAGCUCAUUGAGAGGGAUCCCCAACUCAAUUGGCAAGUUGGAAUGUUUAACUGAGCUGGACAUAUCGUACACAGGAUUUACAGAGUUGCCUGAAUCCAUUGGAGACUUGAGUAAUUUAGAAGUUCUGCAAAUGGCGGGGUCACAUGUAACAAGGUUACCUAGUGUUAUUGGGAUGUUGGGGAAACUCACCACAUUAGAUGCCACAAAUUGCAACAUCCUGGGCAGAAGUUUGUAGUAAUAUUGGUGAAUUGUUUCAUUGAAGGCCCUCCGAUUGUUGGGGACAGAAAUUUGUGGCUUGCCAGAAAGCAUUUGUAAGCUUUCUGUCUCCAAGACCUCAACUUACGAGGGUGCAAGAAGCUCCAAUUGCUGCCCAAACCUACCCUCUGGCUUGAGAACUCUAGGUCUCACUUGUCAGAGUCUUACAUUGCCAAUCCUUUCCAACCUGACAAAUCUAAAGGAACUCUCUGUCCUAGAAUGCACUACACUUGAAUGCCUCCCAGAGCUUCCCUCUAAACUGUCAAAGCUUUCCUUAGGAGGAUGCCAAAUGUUGAGAAAGUUGCCAGAUUUGUCAAACUUGAAGCAUCUUUCAGAAUUGAGUUUGAAGGUUUGCUCUGAAUUGAGAGAAGUCAAAGGUCUGGAAGGAUUAGUAUCGCUAACAAUGUUGGAUGUGUUGAAGUGCCCAAAGUUAUCUAGGCUUGAUAGGGUAGAAUGUUUGAUGUGUCUGAGGUACCUAAGCAUAGGACCGUCAGAAGCGUUAGAGAGGUUGAUGGAUUGUUCGGAACUGAGUAAUUUAAAGGUGCUUCCAAGUUGUGAGAAUCAAGCUGGAUUUCAAGCUCUUAAUAGCUUCAUUUGCUUGGAAGUUUUAGAACUCACUGCUUGCAUGUCUUUGGAAAGACUGGACCUUUCAACUUUGAAGCUUUUAAGGAAAGCAAGUGUUAGGAAAUGCAAGAAUCUAGUCGAAAUUAGAGGCCUUGACAGCUUGGAAUACUUGGAAAGGUUGGAUAUCUCUGAGUGCACAUCCAUUAAGAGACUGGAUAUUGCAAAAUUGAAGUAUCUGAGAUAUUUAUGGGCUUCCAAAUGUAAGAAUAUAUGUGACGUCCAAGGCCUUGAUGUCUUGGAUUGGAAUGGUUGGACAUCUCUGGGUGCACAUCGAUUGAAACAUUACCAGGCCUUUCUUGCUUCAAGACACUGAGGUUUCUCAAUAUCAACCACUGCAAAAAACUAUGUGAUAUUCAGACCCUGGAGAAAUUCUCAUCCUGCCAAUGGUUCUAUAUUGAUGGAUGCAAGUCCCUAGAGAAACUGCAAAACCUAUCAAAAUUUGAAGGUUUGAUAGAGUUGAUAGUGAAAGAUUGUCAUGAACUUCUGGAUAUUUCAGAGCUCAGAGAGUUGAGAUCAUUAGAAUUUAUAGAUAUGUCAAGAUGCAAGUCCAUUGAGCAUCUACCAGAUUUGUCAAUGUGCAAGAACUUGAAAUGUUUGGUUGUAAGAGACUGCAAGAAACUUAUGGAGCUUACAGGGCUUGGAGACUUGCAUUCACUGUGGUGAGUGGAUAUUACUGGCUGCAAGUCACUGAAACAAAUACCGGAAUUACCUGGAGCACACAUCAUGCAGAACUAUGGAGAACCUACGUUUCAUCCCUUGUAUGGGACUAUAACUUUCAGCUGAUAUGCUGCACAUAGUUCUACUGCCAUGUCAAACUUGAGAGAGUAAAAAGAAGGUGAUCACCCAUGCCCUGUUCACACCUAUUUCCUGUGUUUUAAUAGUGUUAUCUGUAUCAAGAAGUAAAUUUUCCUUCAUGGCCUUUUCUAUUAUCAUUUCUUUCCCCUAUAUAGUUCAAGCAAUGGAAAGAAGUUGAUGCUCUGGCAAUUGUUUAUUUCUAGAGUGGAACUUCUUCGCCCAGUUGGAAACCUUCUCUAAGUACGUUUGAUAUCAUCGUGGUUGACAACUCGAGUUCUUAAUCUUCAACAUGAGAUUGAUUAGUGAUGUGCAUGUACAGACUUCGGAGGUUAUUUUGCUUGGAUACCUGAUAUGUCCUGUUUGUUUCACUAACACAGGGAACAGGUGACUAAAGUAGAACAUCUUCUGAUGAAUUUUUAUGUUAGAUUUGUAGAUGUAUAUUUGCUGUUACUUGCCUUAUCGUUAUGAAAAUUACCUUAUCACGACAUUCCAUUUCUUGAAUUGUUAGCAGGAUUCAUGCAGUUUAUAGAGGCUCUAUCUAUAAUUUGUUUGGGAUUGACUACAUAUUGCAGCUUUCUGUGGAUGGACUUAGACAUUAUUAAAUUUUGGAACGCUUCUCCAGCUUGGACCUUGGAAAUUCCUCCGAGUUUAUAGGAGAGAUGAAUCUCAAAGAAUUAAUAUUCCUGGCUAUAUUGGAGUGCAACAAGCAAAGCUUCAUUUGAUUUUCACCGAGGAAUCAGCGUUUUCUCCUAAAUAUGAUUGAGGAGCUUUCCUCCUUUUCCUUUCAUGAUAAUAUUAUGCCUGAGAAUGUUCCUCAAUUUCAUUAUUGGACCAUUAUGCAAUCAGUUUUGAAUGAAGAACUAGAGUUCUUUUUCAUUAUGCAGUAACAGUGACAAUACUUGCAGGAACACCCAAGCCUGGUGAACCUAUUCUUCAUUUUAUCUCGAUACUUCCUGCACAUUCCACGUAAAUGAGCAAGGGUUAAUGACUAUUAUAAAUUGAGUUAAUAACUAGGGCAGCUGCUCGAUCACUACUUAUGCUCGUGGUUUUAGUUCGUUUCCUUUGGGGCUUCUUUCAUGGGAGUGAUGCUUUUCCAAAAUGUGUGUCGGCCAGCCUCUCCAUUUGUAAGCUAAGAAUUGUAGGAUCUGUGGUCGUGGGAAGAAGGAAAUGAAUCGUGGUUGUAUCAACCCAGAGAGUGAAAACUGCAUUGUAUCUAGUCCGUGUAUUCGCUUGUCAAACAAUGCAGUCUUUGGUAGUUAGCCUGUGCAAGUUCCCGAUGUAAGAGAACGAGAUUUAUUUACCUACUCGUGUAUCACAGUCGCCAUGAAUUGACCAGGAAGACACCAAGCGGCAAAACUAUGCACUGAUUUGCCUUUUCUCUCUUUCUUUUUAGUUCAAGGAACCAGGAGACUCCAAGAACAUAUGGAAAGCUAGCUGCCUUGUCGAAGGACAUUUACCGACAUAGCCACUGGCAUUGUGUAUCAGCUACUGGAAACCAUAUAUGGCAAGAAAAUAUCUUUCUAAGACACUAGAUGCUAUCAACUCGCGAUUCUCCAAUUGCUGACUUGCAAUUGGCAAAAGUGGCUCCAACCGUUCUGGAUUGAGAAAGAAUCAAUAAGAGUGGAACUGAAUAUUUUGCAUCCUCUGAUACGCGAAGAAGCGUGAGAAGUUCACUACAUAUCUGCAGGAAUUUUUGAGAGAUGAUCAUUUCUGUCUGAAUGGACCAUUCCAAAUCUUGUAUUGACGCGAGGGGAAGACAAACAACUCAGGGAUGUUUUAAACUGCUUCUGAGGCUAUAAAUUACUAUUAACUCUAAUUGCCACCUGCAUAAGAACGCCGGUUUAUUAAAGAUCUCACGUUCCCAUGUGCCUAAACUUGUUCAGAAAGAUGUGCACUUUACCCUGUAAAGCAUAUGCUCCACUUUUAGUUCAUUUAUUAGAGAUCUUCUAUCUGUUCUGGCUUAUAAUUUUCUCAACAAGAAGAGACAGUGUAAGCGAUGGUGCUGAUGCCAGCAGUUCAGGCGCUGUGGGAACAUCCACUUCUCCAUUCAUCUCUCCAAGUGGUGUGGGAAAUGACUGCAACAAAGUGUUCUUGAGCUUUAGAGGCACAGAUGCUCACACAGGAUUCACAAAUCACCUCUACCAUUUGCAAACUUGUCGAUGUAGGCACUGUGCCAGCUCAUGUUCAGAGAUGAUAAAGACCUCCAAGUCGGCAAGGAGUCUGGGUCAGAGCUUCUCAGCGCAAUCAUGCAGUCUAAGAUCACGGUACCAAUUAUCUCUCCCAAUUAUACUUCCAAUAAAUGGUGUCUUUGCAAGCUCAUUCAAAUGAUGGAGUAGAGAAAGAGAGGAAAGUCUUGCCGAUGUUUUACAAAGUCGAUCCCUCACAUGUGCGGUACUGGAAAGGGAGUUUUCGCAAGGCCUUCCGCUCACCCAAAAAGCAUUUUGAUGCGAAGGCUGUCAAGCCAGGGCAGCGAGCGAGCUCUCCGGGCAGGAUCUUCUUCCAAAGCAACUAUGAUCAUCAGUUUCUAACCGGUUCUCAUCAUAUUCUUCUUCCAAAGCCUGUUGCUGCUGCUAUUCGCCUUAUGGUUUCCUCUGAGACCCGAUCCAUAGGUAAUCUGGGCACUUGAACCCAAAACUCAUAAUGUGUGUAAUUGUAACUGUUCUGUGAAGUAGUUGGCAUCCAUGGUUUAAGCACCAAACGAUUGCUGGAGAAAGACCAAGGCCUCAUCUCACGAAUUCUGUUCAUUUCAUUUUCAGACUUAAAGGCUAAAGUUCUCACGAAUUCUGUUCAUUCCAUUUUCAGACUGCUAAAGUUCUCAAGUCUACCCGAUUAAAGGUAACUGAAUCCACUCUCCAUGCCGCUUCAUAGUGUUUUGGAAGGCUUAGAGAUUGAUAUUGGGGUUGCAAUUGCCUAAACAUAGUUAGACGACAUUCUUAUAUUCUACCAGUUGGGACCAUACCAUCUAUCUCAGCCAGGUCUUUUUCUGACCACAAAUUGCACAAUUUUUUGUAUAGUAACUCGAGAAUCUGAGUUAUCUAAUUCUUCCAUCCAAGAGGCACGAGAGGCAGACAGCUUACUCCAUAUGAAAAAAGUAUAGCAGAAGCAGCUAUUCCAAUAAAUUCAUUCUCGGGGUUGUAUCCCAAN
rnacentral:lncRNA from 1 species